GCUCGAGAGGAUAGAUAACUAUGGGCCACAGACACAUGUGGAGUUCUUUGUUUUGUAAUCUUCAGACAGACGUGAACAAAACAAUUCGAGCUUUUAUGUACUCUGCUUAAUCUGCUGUGCUGUAUUACUGUUCUUUGUGUGGUGAUUGAUUGAUUGUAUGUGUUAUUAUGGGGCUAGGGCCAUAUGAUAUUUUCUAUAGUUUACUUCUAAAGAAUAUUUUUAUAUUUUUUGCUUCUUGAAACCACGACUUUGAAUAAUUUCAUCUACUGAAUAAUACGUGUCUCAAUUCCAGAAAAAUAUCAUAAAAAUGAAUGUAAAAUAUGUGUUCCAAUCCCAAACUUUCUGUCUCAGUGGUAACAACUAAUCAAACUUUUGCUAGCUUAAAGAAUAAUUAUAUUAUUAUUUUUCAAUACAACCAAAAUUGUGCCAGCAAAGGGGCAUGACUUAAUUUGCCUUUUUCACUGUAACAAAAAAAUUUAGGUACCUAUUUAUCAGUUUAGAUGUAUUAUGUUCUUUUAGAAGGAGGCCCGGAAUGGGGAUAACUUUUUUCUGACGUGAUGCAAGGGAGAGGCUUGCGAACGUACCAUGCUAGAGUGUGAUGACCAAGCUCAUCGCCUUGAAUUUUCAUGUUCGUCAUGAGGUGGACAAUGUGACCAUGUUGGCAAAGACAGUGGUAUACCGGAUGGAUCACUUGGAGGGAUUUGUUUCUUCCGUUGCAACGCACGGGCAUAUAUGCUAGUGUUACCUAACAAAGCAACGAGAAUAUGGCGAACGACCACCAAUGGUACCUAACAAAGCAACGAGCAUAUGGAUAACAAAUAAGAAAGAUGAUUUUCUCUUCUCAUGAGGUGUCGGUGUCUAUUUCGAUUACUUGUGGAGAUGGGGCUUCUCCUCUUGUCCAGGUUGGGUGUUUAUUUCGGGAUGGAGUGGGGCCCGUCUAUUUUGCUUUUUUUCUUCUUCUUAGAUUUGGUUCCCUGCUAGCAUCGACGAGGUGGUGGUGUUGAUGGUGCGUUGAUCAGGCGGAGACCAAGGGCAUGUCAGAGUUUUAUGUCGCCGGAUCUGUUGGCUGUCGUCGAACCUUGGCAGUUAGUGUGUCUAUCAAGGAGAGCAAUUGGCUAGCUAUUGGUGCAACGACUUCGACAUCUUCCAUGUUUGUUCUAAGGCAUGGUCCAGUUUCAUUAACACUCUGGACCUGUGAUGAUGGAUUGUAAGCGUGUACUGUAUCGAGUGAUGAUCCAUCCAAUGCUGCUUCAACAAUUUCUAAAUCUUGCCUCAAGGGGCGAGUGGCUACCGAAGCAUGUACUAUGCUUAAUUUGUACUAGUAUUGUACUCUUUCUUUUUUGCAUCGAAUUGGGAACUUUAUUAAGGAACUAACAUCCUGUUACAAUCUACCAUCAGGCAACUGAUGAGAAAAUCAGGGCUUUGAUCAAGCCAACUUUCUGUCCCAUCUAGCAUACAAGUACGCUGGGCACACUGAUGAGCCGGCAUAUUAAGAGCCCUGCCGACAUAAUGAAACAAAAAAAUAAACAAAACUAUACACUAUGUCAUCCAAUUUCUUUAAAAUAGGUGUCACAGUUGAUCAGGAGCGCACAUUCCAUAGGUUAACUAGCUCCAAGCAGUCCACCUCCAUUAUCACAUGUGAAUAACCAUGAAGCCAGGCAAAGAUCACCCCCUCACGAAAGCCAAAAGUUCAGCAAUGAAUGGAUCCAACAUUCCUGGCAGGGACUUGGUCCUUGCCCCAAGGAAUGGCAGAUGUGAUCGAGCUAGUCCUCCCACUCCUCCUGUCAUGGCAUCAACAAAGACUGAACCAUCGGUGUUGAUAGAAUGAUAGUCACAUAUGCCAGGUCAGGUGGCCUCCAACAUUGUCCUACCGGCGUCCGUGUCCGGCUCGAUGGAAGCUCGAGCAGGGAUGGUGUUUUGUGAACCCAUGUGCUCGCCUGCACCGAAUCAUAUUCAUCACGAUCAUGACUCGGCCGAUUGUGAGAUGACCAAAUAGAGUGCAUAAUGGUGAUAAUUUUGCAUUUUGCGUUGUGUGAGAACAUCUGAUCCAGAAAAAUAUCCCGAGCCCAAGUUUCUGAUGAAGCCUCAGUACAUGAAGAUCAAACCGAUCCUUGGCAACAAUCCAAAACUUCUUUGCGUGAGUGCAGCACAGCAUCUGAUGAGCGCAUGCAUCAAAUUUUCAUCCAUGGCCUGACGACCGAGCUAAAUCUGACAGCGGCGCGGGUGCCCGAAACUCAAGAGGAUAGAUAAUUGAGUGUCACUUAGCAGACAAGCGUGGUGCCAUUCUGGCUCGCUACAAACAUAUGGGGAGAUCUUAGUUUUGUAUCUUCAAACCUGGAUAAAGAGAACAGUUGGACCUGUAUCUUCAACAGUACUCUUAUUAAUCUGUGUGGGGCGUGCCACGGCCUGACACUGCGGGAGGAAGGAAUAUCCAUGUAUCAGGGGCAUAAAAUUGACACGAUACACCAAGCUACGUACGUUGGCCGCUCCAUCCAAACUCCAAGCCCUAACACGUAGAGUACGUUAGUUAAUCCACGGACAGAUCGAUUCAUCCAUAGGCAUCGACGACCAAUGUCAUCUCUGCUGUGGCGUUCUGCCGCCGCCGCCGCCCGACGGCAGCUCGGCCGGCCGCCCUCCGCGAGGACGACGAUUCGCUCCAUGGCCUCCUCCUCUUCCUCAUCGGAGAACACGAAGGUUCACUCGCUUCUACCAUAUACCCAAUCUAUUUGAUUUGGUUUACUGCUUCCAUCUGCCUGCAUGGUUAACAAACAAUGACGAUCCACAUGUGAGUGACAGGGAACAAGCUGGCUCAUCAUUGCCAACAUCGUUGUAUUGUCGGCGUGGAUCACCCGGCUGAACAACAAGACCAAAGCGCACACGGAGGAGAUUCAGAGGCUGCAGGCGUCCAACACCGAGCUGCAGGACCAGCUGAAGCGGGAUCUCACGAGCAGGCGGCGCGCCACAAACCGAGCAAAUUGAGAGAUAUUUGCGUGCUGGUAGACGCGUACGUGCAUUGCAGACACAUGUGGGCUGUUACUUUAUUUCUAGCUCGCUACAGACACAUGUGGAGUUCUUCGUUUUGUAAUCUUCAGACAGACGUGAACAAAACAAUUCGAGCUUUUGGAGCUUUUAUGUACUCUUCUUUGUAUGGUGAUUGAUGAUCGAUCGAUGGUUCUUGUUAUAUUCCUCAAAAGAUUAGUCCGGGAUGUCUACUGGUGGGUGCCAAGUUAAUUUGAUCCAAGCAACCUCUUGUCUUUGUUACUAUUUUGAAUUUCAGUUUUGCUAUUUCACAUCUAGAUGUGAAAUAGCUAUCUCACAUCUAAGUCAGGGAGCCGUUGGAUCUCGCCUGGCAUUAAUAUUCGUCAAUUCGUGCAACUGUGAUCCCGUACAGCAGUCCUCCUCAUCACGAUGUGCCUCCGUAUCAUCAGUGUCUGGGCCUGUUUUUUUGAUCGCAUGUCCACACCAGAGAAGAGGUCGUGAAAACGCUGCUUCGCAUGCCCAGGCCUAUUGUUGUGGGCCUUCGCUUCCUUUUUUCUUUUUCAAGUAGGAAUUGUACAUGGAAGACUCAGUCCUAGUCCUCACUUUUCUGUACUCCUCACCACCCUGCGUUUGUUUUUGUUUUUGUUUUUUCAUUUCUUUUUUUCUUUUUUGUAUCAUUAUUUGUUCAAAAUAUGGACUAUUUUGUAUUCAUAUUGUUUAUAUUUUCCGAAUUGCUAACAUCUAGAUGUUUUUUACGAAAAAAAUCAAGAUGUUUUUUAAGGGUGUCAUCUUAACCGUUUGAUAUAUCACACUGUAACUGUCGUGCAGGGUUGAUUCAUGUCGUGCACUUCGUACGCUCGCUGGCCGCGCACGUCACUUGGGCUAUUGUUCUUCUUUGUUGGUCCAGGCUCUAUUUGCACGGACCCGUCUGUUUCCUUUUGUUAUUUUUGUCUUUGCUGGGCUGCCGUUGUAAGAAUUCCAAGCCGCUAUUUGUUUUCAUGCCCAUAUGGUGUACGAUAUAGGACUGGUUGGUUUCACCUCUCACUCUUUUUCAUCCCGUUUUUAUUCUUUCUUUUUUUCAUUUUUAAAUUUCGUGAGUGUAUUUUAAGUUCAAAACUUUUUUUUAAAUGACGUCUUAUGUAAGUUUGUCAUUGUUUGACUUAGUUUCCAUAAUUUUUGUGCAAGCGCAUUAUCUUUCGCUUUGUUUGUCAAUGUUUGUUUGUAGUGUAGUUGUUGGCCUAGGUCUGUUUGGCUUCGCUUUUAUCGACCCAUUAUCACAUCCCACAAGCAACCCAUUCCCUAUGUUUCUAAAUUGCGACAUAGAAUUGUACUCCCUCCGUCCGAAAAUAUUUGUCAUCAAAAUGAAUAAAAAGAGAUGUAUCUAGAACUAAUAUAUGUCUAGAUACAUUCCCUUUUGUUCAUUUUGAUGACAAGUAUUUCCGGACGGAGGGAGUAUGAGACAAGAAAAAGGAAGUCCUAUCAUGGUCGGGGCCCCAUUGUAAGUCUACCUUCGAGGACUCGACUAUUUUUUCUCUUAUUUUUUUCUCAGUUGCAAGUCCAACCUUGGCUGGUAAUUGGGGGCCUGAGCAUUUUUGUCCCGCUUAUAAGUCCACCCUCAAAUCUCAUUUAGGGUUAGAACUUUUUUUUUGUUAUUGUCGCAAUCCCACCCUGGACUCACAACUAGGCCCCAACAUUUUUUUUGUCCCAGUUGCAAGUUCACCCUCGACUCGCAACUAUGGCCCAACAUUUUUAUCCUAGUUGCAAGUUCACCCUCAAUACGGAACUGGGACCUGAUAUUUUUAGUCAUAAUAGCAAGCCCACCCUGGACUCGCCACUGAGAUACGACUUUUUUUGUCCCAGUUCCAAGCCCACCAUCGACUGCAACUAGGGCCAACCUUUUUUUGUCCUAGUUGAUAAUCCAGCCUCGACUCAAUACUAGGCCAACCAUUUUUGUCCUAGUUGCAAGUCCGCCGCAACUAGGCCCAAACUUUUUUGUCCCAGUUGCAAGUUCAGCCUUGACAUGCAACUAGGGCCCGAUCUUUUUUGUCAUAGUUGCAACUUCACCCUUGACUCGCGACUGGGGCCCAUCAUUUUUUUGUCCUAGUUGCAAGUCCACCUUCGACUCGCAACUCAGGCGACCUUUUUUGCCCAAGUUGCAAGUCCACCAUUGACUCUCAACUAGAGCCCGACCAUUUUUUGUCCCACAUGCAAAUCCACCCUUGACUCGUAACUAGAACCCGGCCUUUUUUUUUGCCUCAGUUGCAAUCCAACCCUCGACUCGCAACUUGGUCCGACCUUUUUUUGUCCCAGUUGCAAGUUCACCCUCCACUCAGAAGUGGGGGCCGGUCUUCUUUUUCCUAGUUGCAACUCCACCCUUAAUUCGCAACCGGGGUCCGACCUUUUUUGUUCCAGUUGCAAGUCCAUCCUCGACUCGGAACUGGGGUCCGACCUUUCUAGAGUCCAUGACUUUUUAAAUUUAAUAAGAGUAUUUUAAAUUUAGAACUUUUUCAAAUGAUGUCUUAUCUAAGUUUGUUAUUGUUUGAUUUUAGUUUCUGCAAUUUUUGUGCAAACGCUUUAUUUCCGCCUCGCUUGUCACUGCUUGUUUGUCGCGUAUCAUAUUGUUGGCCGUUGCCUAUUUGGCUUUGCUUUUGCCGAAUCAUUAUCACAUCCCACUGGCAACUUGUUCCCUAUGUUGUUUCUAAAUUGCAACAUAGAAUUGGAAGACACAAGAAAAAAGAAGUUCUAUCAUGGUCGGGGCCCCGCUCUAAGUCUACCGUCGAGGGCCCAACUAAUUUUUCUCGCAUUGUAUUCUCAGUUGCAAGUCCACCCUUGACUCGCGACUGGGGCGUGAUCAUUUUUAUCCCAGUUGCAAGUCCACCCUCAACUCGCAAUUGAGUUAGGCAUUUUUUCUCCGAGUCGCAAUGCCACCCUCGACUCGCAACUAGGCCCCAACACUUUUUCCCUAGUUGCAAGUCCACCUUCGACUUGCAACUGGAGCCCACCUUUUUUUGUCCCAGUUGCAAGUUCACGCUCAACUCGCAACGAGGCCCUGAUCUUUUUGUCCUAACUGCAUGUCCACCAUCCACUCGCAACUGAGAUCCGACCUUCUUUUGUCCCAGUUGCAAGUUCACCCUUGGCUCGCAAUUGGGGUCCACCUUUUUUAGUUGCAAGUCCACACAAUCUACACGCAAAUAGAGCCCGACCUUUUUUGCCCCAGUUGCAAUCCAACCCUCGACUCGCAACUGGGGCAUAACCUUUUUUCUCAUAGUUACAAGUCCACCCCCACUUGCAACCGGGGGCCGAUCUUUUUUGUGAUAGUUACAACUCGCAGAAGGGGUUUGGCCUUUUUUUGUUCCAGUUGUAAGUCCAUCCUCGACUCGCAACUAUGGUCUGACCUUUUUUUUCUCCUAGUUGCAAUCUCACCCUCGACUUGCAACUGGCCCCUACAUUUUUCCUAGUUGGAAGUCCACCCUCGACUAGAAACUGGGGACCAACCUAUUUUUGUCCGAGUUGCAAGUGCACCCCCGACUCAUAGUUGGGGUGAACCUUUUCUGCCCCAGUUGCAAGUUCAUCCACUACACGUAACACCUUUUGAGUCAUAUCAUUUUGUAUAUAAGGCUAGCUUGUUCACCAAUUCAAAAAAUGUUCAUGUUUUAAAAAAAUCUAGAAUUUUUAAAAUGUUUGUGUUUUAAAAAUUGUGUUCGCCAAUUCAAAAAAAAAUUGCUUCAAUUUUGUUUUAGAAUUUCAACAGAUAUUCUAAUUUUCAAGUUUUGUUUAAAAAUUCAAAAAAAUGUUCUGGAAUUUUAUUUUUUAUUAAAUUUUUGAAAAAUGUAUAGCAAUUUUAAAUAUUGCAGCUACUGGGCCCGAUGUUUUUUCUGCCUCAACUGCCCCAGUUAGAAGUCCACCUCAACUUGCAACUGGGACUAACCUUUUAUUUUUACAUUGCGUAAACAUUUAUUCUAAACACAAACACAUUUUUGAAACACUUGAAUAUUUUUUAAAGAGAAUUAGUCAUGGCUUUAAGAUUUGUGUUUUUAGCUUUUUUUUAGGCUGGUCCUGUACUACUUCCUCGAUCUGCAUGUGGCAUGUCCAUUUUGCAUGUGGUUUUUGUCCAUGUGCUUUGGGCCAUUCUUUUGUUUUUCUUUAGCAAAUUUUCACGUGUGUAGAAGAUGAGGGACUUGAGCUCUCGUGUAGUAGUUUUAGUAGCACUAUGUGUCCACACAUACUUGCGUUGCACUCGUAUGAGCCUAACAGUGCACUGGCGCGAAACAUGUUGUGCCGGGCUGGACUAAUGUCAACCAAAACAAACAAGCCCACAAACAAACAUGUAUGAGGUAAUGAAGUUGAAAGCGAGAGAAAGGGAACACACCUCAUAUUAAAUGUGAGAUAUUAUCUCGCAUCUAGAUAUGAUAUAGUCACACCCUUUGAAUUUUCGUAGCCUUUGCAUUGGUCCAGGACUGUCAUGCAUGGGUGGUGACGUGUCACGGCCGGACAUCAGGAGGAGGAUUGGAACUUAACCAAACGUAAACGACACAUCUAUUUUCUCAGGCAAUCGAGAUUUUUGUCCCAAACAACCGAUUUCCUAGAAGAAGUGGCGCAGAGAUCCGAGGUCGAGACAGGGGCCACGUUAUUCGCGGUGGAGUCGAUGACGGAUGGGGCUUUCGGUCCUAGAGAGGAGAAGAGUGCCAGACCUAUUCAAAUACUCUUACUUUAGUCUUAUUUCAUAAAAACAAUUUCAGUUAUUACGGCUAGAUUGGCGGAAGAAUACUUAGUUCCUAUUUUUUUUUCUUUUGCAAAAGCCAUCAGGUUUCUGGCAAUCUUUUUUGCAGAAAGCACCGAUCGCUCGAUUUGUUGCGUUUGAUCACUUUCUGAAAAGCGGAGUCCGAUUGUAAGGAGCUGAUUUGGCAAAGAAAUUGCAUACACACCCUUGUAUCAAAAAAAAAUUGAAAAGCGAUCAACCCCGGGUGGGCGCAGGGGGUCGUGGUGGUCGCCUCCCUCCUCGCUAGGGCCUCCAUCAUCCACAACAUCUACNNNNNNNNNNNNNNNNNNNNNNNNNNNNNNNNNNNNNNNNNNNNNNNNNNNNNNNNNNNNNNNNNNNNNNNNNNNNNNNNNNNNNNNNNNNNNNNNNNNNNNNNNNNNNNNNNNNNNNNNNNNNNNNNNNNNNNNNNNNNNNNNNNNNNNNNNNNNNNNNNNNNNNNNNNNNNNNNNNNNNNNNNNGAUCCGUUCGACAUAAUGCUCACCUCUCUCCUAUUCUUCUUCUCUUGUAUUUGACCCUGCAUACCCUCCCGUCGGUGGAGGUCGCCGACGACAAGGGAGCCGGGUCGGAGCUGGCGGCGAUCGCAAGGAGAGCUGAGCUAAAUCUGACGGCUGGCGGGCACCAGUGCUCUGCUCGAUGCCGAAGAGGAUGGAUGAUCCAUUACCAUUAUUCCUUUCUUUCUUUUUAUUUCUCGAGACAACAUGCAGGCGUGGUGCCAUUCUACGUUUUAGCCCGGUUCAAACAUAUGUGAAGAUCUUCGUUUUGCUGCGUCUUCAAACCUGGACAAAGACAACAGCUGGACCUGUAUCUUCAGUACUACUCUGCCUAAACUGUACAACUUUGUGCUUGUUAAUUUGAUGGCUUCGAUGGUGCUUGUUAAUUUGAUUAUAUUGCUGGGUCGAUCGAUUAGUCCAAGAUGUCUGGCGACAGGUUAAUUUGAUCCAAGCAAAGCCCGGCUGGCUCUUGGUUUACUGUUUCGAAGAAGUAAUUACAGUAAGCUGGUUACUAGUAAUAAUUACACCAUCCAUUUCAUAUUAAGUGUCGCUGAUUUAGUACCGACAAUACUUAAUAUGGAACGGAUGUUGCUGUACAUACAAUGGCAUGUCCGUGGACGAUGCUAUUAAUGAAGCCGGUGGUGUUAGAAAUCAAACUUCAGUACAUCCUCAGAUUUUGCAUCCUUCUUGAAUUGGCCAUGCCUCUGUGGUGCGCAAAGUAGUUUCGAUAUGGAAUGGUGGAAGUAGUUAAUUUGCAUUGCCUUCGACUUGGUCCCACGAUUCACAUGCAUGGGGACGUUCCUAGGCCAGACACGGGGGGAGUAUAUAAUAUAGGUGUAUAAAACAUAGGAACAUUUGUUCUAUGAGACUAUAUGGAGACAAAUAAUAAUAAAAAAAAAGGCGUUGCUACGCGUCGGCUAACGGAUAUUUUUAAAAGAUCCACCGCCUCGCGAGCCGUCUGAUGUGCAGACAUCGGGCAGCAGAGCGCUGUCUUUCACCAUUGCAACAGAGUUGCGGGUGCGGAAGUUUUGCAACAGAGAUCUUGUUGCAGAAAAUCUUUGCAACAAAGGUAUUGUUCCAGAUUUUUUUUUUGCAAUGAAGGCCCUUCUAGAAUAUCUUUGAAGUUCUUAUAACCUUUCAAAAUCUUCCAGGACCUUCUACAACCUUUCGGGAUCUUCAUGAGUACUCUCGGGACACAUGCAAUCGUAAAGCGGCGAUUCUAGCAUGAAUUUUAAAAGUGAUGACAUAUGGCAAUUCCCGUGGGCAUUCCCUCUCCUAUGCACCCUUCACAGAGAACAACGCAAACAUUCCCUCUGAUGCACCCACCCAAGGAAACAACCUCGUGUAGCAUGACAUCCACCCACGAUGUGAAGCAUGCACAUUACUAAAAUCAUGCAUGACUACUUCUCUGCAUAGCAUGGCGAAUCAUCCCGCUGUAGCAUGGUAAUUCCUACACAUGCAUGGUAAAUUGACAAUUUUCUCUGUUGUACCAUACCAUUUUUCAGUUGUAACAUGGUAAUUCCUUUCUGCUAACAUGGUAAUUCUCUUUUGCGCAUGUCAAUUUCUAAACAUGUGAGCAACUUCCUCUUCUCUUUAGCAUGAUAAUUAUCUCUACUGCAACAUGGCAAUUUUCUGAAACGCAUGGCAAUUUUCUCUGUUGUAGUAUGGCAAUUUUUGUUCUAUAGCUUGUCAUUUUUUGCUUGUUUAGCAUGACAAAUAUUUCUAUUAUAGGAUAACAAAACUCUUUGUUCUAACAUGACAAUUCUUGAAUGUUUCUCGGAGUGAUUCUUUGAGCAAAGGACAAGGAAAAUCGGUGUUUGGUCAUAUAAGCUUUGUUGAGAGGAACAUCCGUGUGGUGAAACCAGCUCACUAAAGUUUAAAACAUAUACUUGGCACUGGUGCCUUUAUCUUGCUAAAUUUAUUUCAGUGUUUCCAGUAAUGAUCGUUCAAUGGGAGGAGGUGUUUCCAUUGACUAGGAGACGUCAGUGAUGACUUCAGCAAUAUCAAGCAGUUGUGUUGGCUCGAUAUCUCGGAGGUUCUCAUAACAUAAGGUGUGCGUGCGUGUACUCAUAGGGAUGAAUGUAUAUGCGUGUAUGUGAGCAUAUGUGGUUAUAACAUGUUACAAAAUGUUCAUUCUCACAGAAUAAACAUUAGCUUGCCAUUAGGGUCCUUUUUAUUUUGCGUGGAUUUACACCUAGUUGUCAGAGAUAAUUUUGCUAUAAUAAAAAAUAAAAAAAGAAUCUUUUAGUUGGCGGACGUUCGCUGAAGAGAGUGACAUUUCGAACAAUUUCCGUUGCAAUUUUAGCUGUAGGGUGACAUAUUUUGAGACUAGCUAGCAUGACAAUUUCAUCCUAGAAGACACUUUCAGAUUUUUUUUUUAAAUGUCAUCAUUUAAUCUUGAUUAAACGGCUGCGAGGACGUUCGUUGGGAGUUACUUUGCAGCGAACAUUCACCAGUUAACGGAAAAGAAAAGACUGGUCCGGCGAACGCAGAGCCCGGAGCGGAUACGAACCAGGUGAGCCAUCGAAGCUGCUUCCUCUUAUAUAUAACGUAAUACAUAAAGGUAGCGCAGCCCGCAAACCCCAAUCCCUCGUCCACACAAACCCUCGUCCCCAAGUUCGCGAGCGAACAUCGGCGCCGCUGCCACCGGCCGCUGUGCGCGACCGCCCACCAUGGCUCGUAACGAGGAGAAAGCGCAGUCCUUGCUGAACCGCUUCACCACGAUGAAGCAGGAGGAGAAGAGCAAGCCCCGCGAGCGCCGGCCGUACCUCGCCUCCCAGUGCCGGGACCUCGCCGACGCCGACCGCUGGCGUGGUGAGGUCCUGCGCGAGAUCGGCGUCAGGUUGGCCGAGAUCCAGAACGAGGGACUCGGGGAGCACCGCCUCCGAGAUCUCAACGACCAGAUCAACAAGCUUCUCCGCGAGCGCAGCCACUGGGAGCGCCGCAUCCUCGAGCUCGGAGGCCACGACUACUCUCGGAGCUCCAACGCCGCCCUGAUGACCGACCUCGACGGCAACAUCGUCGCCAUCCCCAACCCCUCGGGCCGUGGACCGGGCUACCGCUACUUUGGCGCUGCCAAGAAGCUCCCCGGCGUCCGUGAGCUAUUUGACAAGGCACUUGACGUCCGCAAGCGCGGCACCCGCUACGGGAUUCACAAGCGCAUCAAUGCCGGGUACUGCAGAUACUAUUACUAUGACGACGAGGACGGUGCGCUUGAACCCCAUGAGGCUGCUGCUGAGAAGCGCAUGCGGCACGAGGUUGUCACGGAGUGGCACCGUGUGGCGCGGGAGGCCAUGAAGAAUGUGGCGAGUGGCGAGGUGGCGGCUGCAGCAGGUGGGAGUGGUGGGGAGGCUGCUACUGCUAGAGAGGUGCUGUUCGAGGAGGUGGAGGAGGAGGUUGAGGAGGAGAUUGAGCGAACGGUGCUAGAGAAGAAGGAGGAGCUGCUGAGCAAGUACACAAGUGAUGCCCUGCAAGGCGAGCUGAUGGGGGCCAAGGAGAUAUGCUCAACGUGCAACGCUAGGACUAGCUAGGAGAUAGACCUACGUGUAUAUAUAUAUGUUCUUGUUUAUCUUGGCUGUAAUGCUCUACUGCUCUACUGAUCUUUGUUGCCCUGUAAUUUGUGUGUGCCCAUUUACUCUUUAGUGCCUUCAUGCUGCGAAUGGUUUUUUAAUUUUUAGGCAAAGGCGUCUUGCACUAUGUGAACUAGGUGAUACCCGCGCGUUGCUACGGAACAUUUUAUAAGAACCUAUUGAUGGGUACACAUGUGCAACCUAACAAAAACAACACAUGCAUAGUUUCUUAUAAUUUAUAUAAAUCCAAAUAAUAUUAAAAUAAAUACGGACACUUAAAUGGAAUUUCGGCAAACAAAAGACAGCUAAAUUGACUUGCUAGAGUUAAGAAAGCAAUGGACUUACUAAUAGGUUGUUUGGCUCCGUUGGAAAAAAAUAAUUAUUGAUAUUACCCUUUUCGAUCUAUUUUUCCUGAUAAAGUUGUCUGCACCUUGUAUUCAGCUAAAUACAAAAUUAAUUCUUACCAUCACUAAGCUUGAAAGAGCUUUGCUGUACUACUAUAAAGGAAGUUAAUGGUGGGGUGUUGCCAAAGUAGAGAUUAAUAGUGCUUUGAUUAAAAUGAGCAAUCAAGUAAAACUUGUGAACUCAAAUUGCAAGUGUAUAGUUUAUGUGCAAUGUGAAAAUAGUACCAGAUGAAACUGCGAUAGUGUGUCCAAUGUUCAAAUAUGCAGUACCAACCAAAUGAGAUACUGAUAUAUCACCAAUCAAAAAAUUUCAAAUAAAUGUAUGACCAAAACCCAGUGAAGUAACAUUAUUACACAUGGACUUUGUCCAAAUAUGUCGACUGUUGCCAAAAAAGCAAAACCUUUGCCUUUCAGUGAUGCGACUUAUCUAUUCUUUUAGAAACUGUACCUGGACAGAGGUACUUCAAAAGAGGUUACAUGAAAGUGCUCUAAUAUCACAUAGGUCUCUCACCAAGUGCCAGGCAACUGGCAGCAGAUUAAAACCACUGACGCUCCUAUGAGUAGGAGAAAUAGAGUGAACGGAACCAAUCAACUCAUCCAUGCUUAUACCAUAAAAAAUGGUAAGUUCAGUUGGUUGAAUGUAAAAGCUAAAGAAAUGAGGAAUUCGGGAGGGCAGGGUAAGACUGUUGUAGACUGUUGCAUGCAUGGACCACCCCGUUUGAGCCACCCGCUGAAAAUUUUGUCUCGUCCGAUACUUGUCUAUUAAUGGGAGCGGCAACAAUACCAGCAAGGACCACCAAAUUGUCCUACAUCCUUGCCAUCAGAAGAAAAUUGUCCGACACUUGUGACAGGUGAGAUCUGAACAAAUCUGAAUAUAAGCUUGCCAUCCAUCACAUGUAGGUAUCGUAUCAUAUUUUUCAACUGUAACAAAUAGAAGCCAUCAGGUUCAUAUUCCCAUGCUCUCUAAAUUAGUAAGUAGGCUAACAAAAUGCGCAUAUGAUAACUCAAUGUCGAAAAUAAAAUUCAGAUAUGGGAGCUUGUGCUCUCUAAAGAGGUAUGUAGGCUAACAGAAUGAGCAUGAGAGAAACACACUAUUUGCAGAAUCUUUUUCUGGUUUAGUUUUUGUGUAAAAAAAAGUGUCAUGGGUGAAGUAUGUCAGAACGGCAUAAGACGCAUGGAUUAAGAAUAUGAUCGAUGUGUUUGUCCGUCAGAUGCAAAAUUAAUAGAUUGCACAAUGCACAUACAUAGUUCCACUACACGUAUACCUGACUGGUGGCUGCUGAAGAGAUAUACUCCCUCCGUUCCGAAUUACUUGUCGCAGAAAUGAAUGUAUCUAGAACUAAAAAAUGUCUAGAUACAUUCAUUUCUACGAUAAAUAAUUCCGAACGGAGGGAGUAGAUGUGAGAUACCCCUGCUGCCCUGCAGCUGCAGGUACUGCUUUCUUCUGGUGUCAACGAUCAAGUCCUCCAUACUGCUUCACCGUUUUGCAAGUAAACUGAUGAAAAAAAUGGUUCACGGUCACAGUUACACGGUCUGCACUCUGCACAGAGGAUCAUACAGAAAGAGCCUGGAUUGAAGGCGUACCUCCUGAUCGCCAGCGCUGCGCCUCUGAGUCUGAGGGCAUGGUCAGUGGCGCCGAACAACAUCCUUCCACCACAGCGUUCCUGAGAGAUGAACUUCUAGCUUUGGCGGAGACCCCUACCUCUCCGCCCAAGGGCUAGAGUUCGGCAACCGGCGCUGCCGGCCUGCCGACGAGGCACGCCGCGUUGGACGACAGGAAGAGCACAUCAGCAAGAGCGCAUCAGCAACAACAUCAGGUCAGCUGGGCACUGAUUCCUACCAGGGGGAGGCGAGUACUCAUGGACGGGAAGCCGCCGAUUUGGCGUGGCUUGUGAGCGUGGGAGGCGGCAUCUCGCACUGGUGUCAGAUUUGGAGAUGCGAACCAAUAAGAUGGAGUAGCGAAGGCCAGAUUGGUUGGGAAUUAAAGUGAAGAGCACUGCUAUACAGCCGAUAUUUUUAGACGACAUGCAGACGACGUUUCCCAUCCAGCCAUCAGUAUUUUGGUCCCUAAAGCAUCUGACGGUGCAAAUUAUUUAUCGGCUGCACAUCGGGCACAUAGUGUCGUGUGCAUAUUCAUUCCGUAAAGUGAAAGUGGAAGGGGAAUAGGCGGCUGCAUUUGGUGCUGCGUUCUUGGAGGUGAGGAGCCAAGGGAGGUGGAGCAACGUGGAAGUGGAACCAACGCAAGGGGGAUAGACUGCGGGAGGUUCAACGCAAGAACUGCAGAUCUGGCCACCCGUGGUUAAUCGAAUGGAUGCAAGUAUUUGUGGUGACGUGGUUAACUGUGAGGGCAGCAAAAUCAGGUAGUGGGGUGCUCCUAUUUAGAUAUAAUAAUAGAUUAUCGUUUGCGCUGUACCAUUGAUUGUGUGCUUUGUUUGAAUUUCGAAAGUUGUGCUCACAGUCAUGGUACCAACAGCUAGCUAGCGAAAUACUCUGCUGGAGCCUGAGUUAAAUGAGAUUCACUGCCUCUGGUUACUUUUUUUUUUCACAAAUCUUGUUUGAACCCGAUGAUGCUCCAAAUAAGCAAUUUCAUUAUAUGCUGAAAUUAUGAGUUUAGGCAAUAAAUUGAUACAUCAAAAUCAUAUACGUUGACCGAUCAGCGCUUAAUGGUCCAAUAUCUUAUUUCAUUAGUUGAUGUAGUUCAUUUAGUUAACGUCGCUGCAGCUAUUAUGUUUCCUGCUUAUGAGUUGUCAUACGUAUUGAGUAAGCAUUUUGUGUUUCUUAAUUUGAAAACCUUUUAAAAUAUACUCCAUUCGUUUCUAAAUAUAAGUCUUUUUCUAGAUUCCAAUACACACUACAUGCCGAGUAAAAUGAGUGAAUCUACACUCUAAAAUGCGUCCAUAUACAUUAUCGAAAAAUGCUUUCGCCCCGCUUUAUAAAUAAAGCAAGAUCAACAACAUCCUGGUACAGACGCACUCCACCACAACACACGCACACACCCAAGGCAAGAUACAUGGACACUGAGCUCAGCAACACGACCCCAAGCACUACUCGAGCAACCGGGGCUCCACUAGUGAACACUGCCACCACGAAGAGAUGCAACCACAUACGACGAACCGUGGGCUCCAAGACGGUGCCUUCAGGAGGUUACGACACCGGAGCGCCGCCACCGCCCGAUCCGAGGAUCAAGGUUUCCCCAGGAACCACACGACAGACAAUGAGAGAGCCGCGACAACGCCUUUAAGAAGGCAACGAGCUACGCCGCUGCCGGUCUGUCCGAAGAUAGAGCAGGUUUUCACCCCGGCCAAUACUCAUUGCCAUCAAACGCCGCACCCCCGACAACCACGUCGCCCACACGGCCAUGUCCACCGGGCAGUACCAAGCGACUGGCUCUGCGUGAGCACCGCACAACCACCACCAGGGCCGCCGCCCCAGAAUCCAAGACCCAGGAACCACCUCACCCGACACCUGCCGCUACCCCAGCGGAAGAGACGAUCGGAUCCCGGGGCAAACAAGUCCAUCGAUUCAUCCUACAGCUCCGGGCGCGGGACGAGCUCGGUCCUGCUGCCGGGAGCGAGACGAGUAGGUCCUGCUGUCGGGCGCGAGACGAGCUCGGUCCUGCUGCCCGUGCACGAGACUAGCGAUGGGUCGCAGAAGGGAGAGGGCCAUCCCAUAGACGAAGAUUGCGCCCGGGCAUCGAGAAGAGGGGUCGAAGCCCUUCACAGGCCGCACACCUACGGGCCGACGCCAAAGAAGUCCAGCAGCCGCCGUGAGACGAUCUUGACCACCGCCAUGAGCCACCACCACGCCGUGGUAGCCCACAUCCAUGCCGAGCACAACCCGCGGCCCCUGCCAUCACUGGAUCGGCCGGGGGCUGGCAGGCCCACCACCACUAGGGAGCGCCGUAGCAGGGGCGGCCACCGGAGCAAGCCACCACCUGCGGCGGGCCGAAGCCCCGCCACCACAAGGGCCCAGGUCACCUGAGCCGCAGCCGCGAUAGAUCAGGCCCGCGCCCAAACACCACCACCGCCGGGAGCAGGGCACGCCCCCAGCCCGCACCACCACCCACGCCGCCGCCGGCAGGCCGCGCCCCCGUCGCCAGCCGCCAUCGCCGUGUCGCAGCCCAACAAGGAUGGCCCGUGCCAUCCAGUGCCGCGCGGAGGAGGAAGACGCCCCGCCGUCGUCCGAGCUGGGGUNNNNNNNNNNNNNNNNNNNNNNNNNNNNNNNNNNNNNNNNNNNNNNNNNNNNNNNNNNNNNNNNNNNNNNNNNNNNNNNNNNNNNNNNNNNNNNNNNNNNNNNNNNNNNNNNNNNNNNNNNNNNNNNNNNNNNNNNNNNNNNNNNNNNNNNNNNNNNNNNNNNNNNNNNNNNNNNNNNNNNNNNNNNNNNNNNNNNNNNNNNNNNNNNNNNNNNNNNNNNNNNNNNNNNNNNNNNNNNNNNNNNNNNNNNNNNNNNNNNNNNNNNNNNNNNNNNNNNNNNNNNNNNNNGGAGGGGAGGGGUGUCCAUAUACAUUCGUACGUAGUCCGUAUUGAAAUCUCUAAAAGGUGUUAUAUUUAGAAAUGGAGGGAGUACAAGAGUAUUGUUUGAAGUUGAUGAUUUUUUUGUCAAAUGUCCUUAUGACCUACGAAGUUAGAUACGGAAGGAUAAUGCCUUGUUGGUGCUGACCACAAGAUGCUUUCUUCAGGGUUACAGUUCGACUAUAUAUCUGUAGUUCUGUACUAAUGAUGACUUUUAGUUAUUUAUUUGAUAUUGUUGAAAAAAACCUUGCAAGCAGGAAAUCGCUGGCUGGUGGACGAGUCUCGUAGGCCAUAAUCUAUAUCACAUAGCUGCUCCUGCAGGGUCGUGAGUUGCUCUUGAUGAAGCACCCAUGUUUUAGUGUCAGGAAGAGAGACCUCAUGCUCGGUGUUGUCCCCAGGGCCAGACAUGAACUCUGAUACCAAAUUGGAACCGCCUAUGGAUCGGAGGGCUACUCCGUGGCUUGGAGGUGCUUGGGGGUCAAUGGGCUGUGGACAGGGCGGCGGCGUCGCCGGCAUAGUAACAGAAGAUAGCGGGGAUUAGAGAUAGAAAACACAGAUAGAGAAACUAGACUUUAUUGAUAAUUUCUUGCCUCUAAGCUUACAUGGGUGUGUCCUUUAUAUAGGACACGGACUAGUACUACUUUGACAUACAUUGGACUCCAAUUGGAAUCCGACUCAAACACUACCUUAUCCGAUCUGGAGAUUACCAAAACAGAUGCACCCUUCAGGACAUCAAACUGCCCUUUUCUAUCCACAGCUUAACCUGCCCCUGCUGCCCUGCGCCUUCCAUAAUGAAUUCCCCACGUAACAAAAUCAUGCUAGUCGGUUGAGUUAAUUGACAAGCAGGUACUUAGUUUCUUUAUCGAAACUAAUAUGUCUGCUUCGUUCAUUUCCUCAUCAAACAUUUGGUAAAGCAAGUCGCAUUUGGGGACACAUGCAAAAAAUAUGCGAUCUGGUUUAGAAUUACAGAAAUGAUAAAUCCCAAACGUUCAGAUUUUAAGUAUGACAACCUGAACAUUUUGCAUGGCAACUUCAGCUGAGGCGAGGUGGCAAGUUUAGUCGGCAAACAAAAUUGCCAUGUUUGCCAACUAAACUUGCCACCUCAUCUUAACUAAGGUUGUCAUAAAAAAUGCCGGGUUGCGAUUCUUAAAAUCCGAACGUUUGGAAAUUAUAGGGGUCCUAGAAUUAGUUGUGCUUAUGGUGUUUGAUUAAUGAUUUCAUUCUAGAAUAUUCCUUGUCAACUGAACACCCCAUUGGAUGUGGCUUGUGUUAUGUAUAGGCUGGAACGUUGUUUAUUACCCUAGAAUGAGUGAUGCCAAAUGGGUAAACCUGAGAUAGUGGUGGUGAACUGUCACUGUGCAUGUAUGUGUUAUAUUCACUAACACUUGUGAUGUACAACAACUACAUCCAAUGGCUACGCACCCUGAUUGAUAUAUAUCUAUAAAAAUACUGAUAAAACAGAAGUCGGAUGGUAUCAUCUCCAGACCAUAAUGAAAGCUUUUCUCAACACUCAAAGAUGUAAGGGCAUCUCCAAUGCUAACCCCUAAAUUUGCUCCGGCAUCUGUUCACGCACAGAGAUAAAUAGUCCGUGGACAAGGACACGGAAGACAACCAUCCAACCGUAGCCAUAAAAUGUCCGCAGCGGUCUUUUGUUAAUUGACCCUAAACAACGGUCAAUUAAAUAAAAUGAAACAACACAUUCCGCAAAACAAGCAACAUAUAUUACAUGCACCUUCCGCCAAUGCAUGCAUUGCAUUGCAUGCACCUUUCCGCCAAACACUUUGGUAAAAGCAAUGCAUUUUGAAAGAGAAAAAGAUAUUAACGUCGGUGCCAUGUUCCAUCAUUUGGCACAUGCGAAGUUAAUCACGUUUAGCUCGAUAGUUAUGUGCCUUCCGCCAAAGCAAGCCAGCUAGCUUGAAUCCUUCCGCCAAAGAUCAUGCUAAUUAGGUAAUAACAAAUUCUCCUUCCGCCAAAUAGCAUGGGCCUUCCGCCCAUCAUGCACGGACGAGGGCACGUGGUGACUUUCCACUGGCCAGACGGAUAUCUGGACUACUACAUCCUCAUUUUGUCCUCGGUUUAUGAGCUCGACGGACCGAUGCAGGCCCAGGUUGAAAGGCAAAACACAUCCGGACAACACAGUUCAGGCGUAUAUGGGCAGUUUGAGGGUCGGCGUUAGAGGUGCCCUGACAUCCAACAUGCUGAGCAUCCCUAAAGGAGUGGCAUCCGACAUGCUAAGCAUCCCUAAUCCAUGACACCGGUUGUAGCCCCUGAAUUGGUCAUCAAGCUGAGGAGAUUCCUCAGCCUCUCGAGGCUACUCUCAGUCUUCCGUCUUCGGCCUUACAAGCUAGUUCACCUUACACAAUCUCCUGAAGGGAUUUCACCUUUAGCCAAGGAGUCGUAUACCUCGAUCAUCCGAGGCGCCCCACAGUACUUUCGUGUCUUAUUUAAUAAAAGAUUCCUUCAACGCCCAGGAAAGGUCUGUUGGAUUCUAGCCCCCCACCCAGUCUUCUCUAUCCAUGGAAGCAAUCUAGCUUCUUCCUCGGAUGGCAGGAAGUCAUCAACCAUGGGACUACCACCCGACACCUCCCACCCCAUGUUGGGAGCGACCGCGCCAGGUUGUGCUACCUCACCUAUCUGCGAUGAAAGAUUUAGGACAGUGCGCCCGACGAGCUGGAACCGCGGUCGCUGUUUGCUAUCAUGGCUCCAUCAGCGAGCUACAAUUAGCAAUCUUUGGUGGUACGAAGAGCACCGCCGGAUCUUGGAACCGGUUCUCUACUUUUGUAUCAAAUGGUGGGGGUGGGGCCAUGUCGGCAAUAUGUGGUGCACGAUUGCUACAACCAGCAAUGACAGAAGUUGGGGCUGGCUAUUUUUUUUGUUGCUAAAACUAUGAUGGAAACAUUAGGGGGAAACGGGGGUUGGCGCGUGUUGUUUGCUGCAUCUAGCAACCACAAAAGCUAUAAACGGUGAGUCCUUUUGCUGCCAUGGUGACGGGGCAAAAACUGCAAGAUUUUUUUCUGGAAUCGUCUGCUACGACCGUUGGAGAGUUUUUGCUGCUACGACAACCCAAGGGAGAGUACAUUUUCGCAAGCUCGUUGUCGGAGGUGCUACGACCAGCGACCAUCGCCACCGAAACUACGGCUGUCGCCACUGCGAGUUGCAACCACGAGCGCAUGCUGCUGGAUGCACGGAGCCGCUAAGAAACACAUGCGACGAUGGCGGCGAGGGCGGUGACCAAUGUUUUAAAUAGCGGGCUAUUGAAAAUAGCGGCGGGCCUCCAAAUCAGCUAUAGCGGACUAUUUAUGAAGGCGGUCAUUUAGCAGCACCAUGCUGAAAAAGCUAUAGCCGGCUAUUUAAUACUAUGGCGGUGACCGGUGUCGACAAGCGAGACGUGCCGGGCAAUGCUUUGAAAUCUGGCGUGCCGGUUGUCCAUGGCGACGCGGCAUGCGUUGUUUCUCAGUGAAGAAGGUGCGAAGGGGAGGAAGGAAGGAGAUUGUGCUAUUCAAAAUCAUGUUAUCAUACGCCGCGGGUGCGACCAGCAGCUAGCGCCGCCCUUACCGUUUGAAUAAUAAAUUGAGUUUUUUUAACAAUGUACAGAUGUAGACGCUUAUAAUAUGCACAUACACUCACCCCUAUGAACACACGCAUGCAGACCCUGUCUCUAUGAGCUUCUCUAAGGGACUGAGCCGGCACAUCAUAUUGAGAUUGACAAAAAAAAUUAUAGUCAACGGGAACGUCUCCUCCUACUUAACACACACCGCUGAAAGUCCCAGAAUAAAUCCAAGAAAAUGCGAGUACGCACACCCUACCCCUAUGAGCACCUCCGAGAAACUGAGUCGACACAUCAUCUUGAGAUUGACAAAGACACAUUCAUCGUCGAAGGAAACAUCUCCUCCUACUAAACACACAUUGCCAAAAGUUGUGAAAUAACUGUAGGAAAAUACGAGCGCCAGUGCCAUGUCUAGGACUUGAACCCUGAUGGGCUAGGGAUACCACUCUCCUCCUAACCAUCCGAUCGCAAGUUGGUUCGCAAAUUGAGUUGGUAAGUUUAUAGUCAGUUACCCCAUGCAGAUUUUAUUAAGAUGGUAGACACUCCCUUGGCGGUUUGGAUAGCACGCAGAAAAGCAAUACACGAGACAAUUUAUCAAUGUCCAAUUCAAACACAUCUAUUGAGGAUUUAUUUCAUAGUUGGAUAGCCUAAAGAGGAUUACGAGAACAAUGGCACUGCAGAAGCGUGGACGCGAUAAUGAUUUCUAACACAUGGAAGCCCUCCCCCCCUUUCCCAAGUGGCCAUGCAAAGAUCUAUGUCGACGGAGGUAUGUCUCAUGAUGGCGAUGUGGGUGCAGCAGCCGUGGUGUGCAGAGACGAAUAUGGCAAAUAUCUCGGAUCCUCGGUGGUUGUCCUCCCAGGAGUGAAAGAUCUCCUAGUCCUCAAAGCUAUAGCGUGCCGCUGGGCAUUGGCUUUAGCUGAUGAUUUGUCUUUGAACCGUUUGAUGAGCGGCGUUUGAUGACCGGGUGCGAUUGCAAGCCAGUAGUGGAGGACAUCAACAAGGAACCGUGAGGUCCUCAUAUUAUAGUUGUGAAGGAAAUAGAAAAAUAAAGGCUAAUUUUGAGAGAUGUGAUUUUAGGUUCGAAGGUCGUCGUGAUUCAAAGUGGGAGGCACACGAUCUUGUAAAACAUUCAGUAGCGCUCGCACGGGUUGCCAUUUGUUGUUGAUAUGCCCUCACAACCCUCUUUCUAUCCCUUUUAAUGGUGUUUCAUAUUAAUAAAAUUUGGUAUUCACAAAUUUUUUUUACAGUAUUAAUAAAGUUUGAGAUCCCUAAAAGAACUUAAUAGUUAGUUGCUACUCCUUGGACUUGGCCCCACGACAGACAUGCAUGAUACAUGAGUGGACGUGCCGGAAGAAAAUCUGGUACGACCGGGUCAUACGCACGCAAACAUGAGACCAUCCCCAUCGCUUGAUAUCUGGAAGUACAAAUCUCAAAGCACGCAGCAUCACCUUAUCCAAACUGGAGACCAGAUCGAGCACAGAUCGACGCCCAACCUCUCCAACGCCCCCAACUCCUGCCGCCGGUGUGCUUUGCUCCGGUUGCUUACCACAUCGCCGCUGGUGAUCGACGCUCAGGAAAAAAAGCUCCUGCCGCCGGUGAGAUCCGCUCUGGCUGCUUGCCACAUUGCCGCCGGUGUUCUCCUUGACGCUCGGCGUACUCCAUUCCCCGCGUUUGUUGGCGACCCAGGUCGCGGCAACGUAGAAGCUGCCCGCCGGCGUGCUCCGCGAUGCCAGCCGCCGUCCUCCUCAGCCACCCUCGCGGCGUGGCUGACGUACUAUGCAGAACAAGUUCAUGUAGAUUUUUUGUGUGUGUGAUUUGAGUUGUAAAAUUUGAACAAAGGCUGCUCCUGCUUAUUUUUCUUCUGAAUUUUAUCCCAUACAAGAUGUGGCAUAUGAUGUAAACAAGACCUGCAAUGUAUAUGUUGGUGUCCAUUCUUGGCAUAAGUGUGGUUUGACGUUUCCAUAUUCUGCUGUCAACUCUUGGAUAAAUGUAAGAUGCAUUUGCAUUUGCCCUGAUAAUCUGAUACAGUCUCAACUGUAUGGCAUGAACAAACAUUCAUGGUUUGCUACAGAGGAAAAUGAUAGCUUCAGUUUUAUAUUGCAGCAAGUAAAUAUCACCAUUUGCUCCUUGGCCCUGUGCCGCGAUGCCAUCGUCGGGCGCCGUAGCCAUCUUGCCGCCACGUCGCUGACGGGAUGAAAACAGAUCUCGUGUCUGUUCGUUUCUUUUGGAAGAUGAAUCAUCAGAAGAUGAGAGGAUGGUGGAAACGGACCAGCUAAUUCUAACCCCGCUUGGGCUUUUUUUCUGGAACUCAAGUUGGGCCGGAUGUUUGGGAUUGCCAGAUGUCAAGCGCUCGGGCUGGUCUCACGUUUGCGUUCGUACGACCAUAAAAGAGACACUGAGGGAGGAAGGAAACGUAACCAUGUUGUAGGCUCAUAAAAGAGACACGGUAGACGAAGGAGUACGUACGUAGGCCGCUCCAUCCAAACUCCAAGCCCUAACACGUACUCCUACAUUAGUAGUUAAUCAACGGACAUAUCGAUUAAUCUAUAGGCAUCUACGGCCAAUGUCGUCUCUGCUGUGGCGUUCUGCCGCCGCCGCCGCCCGACGGCAGCUCGGCCGGCCGCCCUCCCCGAGGACGACGAUUCGCUCCAUGGCCUCCUCAUCAUCAUCAUCCUCAUCGGAGAACAUGAAGGUUCGCUCGCUUCUGCCAUCUACCUCUCCAACCGACAAUUCGAUUCGAUUUGGCCUACUGCUUCCAUCCACCUGCAUGGCUAACAAACGAUGAUGCAUGAUCCACAUUUGACAGCAGGGAGCAGGCUGGCUCAUCAUUGCCAACAUCGUUAUAUUUAAUGCGUGGAUCUAUAGCCUGAACAACAAGACCAAAGCGCACACGGAGGAGAUGAGGAGCGUCCGGCAGGAGAUUCAGAGGCUGCAGGCGUCCAACGCCGAGCUGCAGCACCAUCUGAAGCGCAUCUCAUGACCAUGCGGCGCGCCACAAACCGAGCAAAUUGAGUGAUAUUUGCGACGCAUAGGUGCAUUACACGGCGUAAUUGCUAGUUAUUAAUAUUAUGUGCUUGUCUUUCUCUAAUAAAUUGAUCAGAAGUGUACAUCAUGUUUUUCCUAAUUGUAUGUUUUGCGUGUUCGUCGGAUGUUAUUUACAACAAGGGUCUGUCUAGGACACAUUAUUGCACAUCUAAGUGAUUCAAUGAUAUAAGACUUGGAUGUGCAAUAUUUAGGACACAUCAAGAUAGGCAAAACUGUUGCAACAAACAGUAAAGAUGGUUUUCUCUCCUCCUGAGGCGUCGGUGUCUCUUUGGCUUACUUGUGGAGACGGGGCUUCUUCUCUCCUGUCCAAAUCGGGGUGUUUCUUUCGUGCGCUCUGAGUUGACAACGUGACGUGCAUGGGCUCCCAUGAGAGAAAGAUGGUGAUUUUGGGCGGAAUCGUAUAUCGAUAGGACGACAAGCACCAAAAGACACCAUGCUCCUAAAUUGAUCUAGUGCUGAGAUUAUUUGACUGCAGCUAAAAGAAGUUUUCAAAACUAAAAUUAAUAAAAUAUUAUUUGUGGUCCACACUAUAUCACCAGAAAGGCUCAAUGGUUCGCCAAUAUGUUGUAUUCAGAAGAAUGAGUUGCAUACUAUUGAUCUUGACUCUCUCAUCAAUAAUUUUGCAUAAAAAGUGUACGAAGGAGUUGAUCAUUGGAUGCUAUAGGUGCAUGACAUUUCUCUUUCAAUGUGCUUUGUAGCUUCUAGGAGACUGAAUUGUGACUGGGAGCUAGGUCGCCCCCAGGGUCCGAGCUAGUGCCGGUUCGCCCCCAGGCCGCUCUUUUUAGGCGCCCUGGAGGGGGCGAACGGCUGGAGAUGCUCUAAUGUGUAGAAACUGCUACUAGCAAUUAACCAACCGUGAAUUAGCGUGAAGGGGAGAAGAAACCUCUUGUUGGGUGUGUGUGACGAGUCUCGGCCGUACACUAUUAGCUAGGCUGAUUUAAGGAAACCAUAAAGUACCAUAGAGGCAUUGUUUGAGUUCUUCUCGGAGAGGGAAUCCGCAGGCUUUUACUCAACAUCGGUCAACGAUACACAGGUCCAUAUAUAUUCGAUCGAUGUCAGAAUGAUCCAUAGUACUCCCUCUGUCCCAUAAUAUAAGAACAUUUUUGACACUAGUGUAGUGUCAAAAACAUUCUUAUAUUAUGGGACGGAGGGAGUAAGUCGCAAGCUAGCUCCAUCGAUCCUCCAAGCCCGAACACGCUAGGUGUCGAUGUAGGGUAGGAACGAUGUCGCAGUUGUUGCGUGCUGUCUCUGCCGCCGGGCGAUGGCUGGUCCGGCCGCCCUCUUCCGUCGGCGGGACGAUGGUCCACGGCCUCCGCCACUCCAUGGCCUCCUCUUCCGCCAUUGCGAGGACGGUCCACAGCCUCCGCCGCUCCAUGGCCUCCUCCCCCGGCUUCACGAGGACGGUCCAUAGCCUCCGCCCCUCCAUGGCCUCCUCCUCCGGCUUCACGAGGACGGUCCAUAGCCUCCGCCCCUCCAUGGCCUCCUCCUCCUCCGCUGCCACAACGGUCCAUGGCGGCCCCUCCAUGGCCUCCUCCUGCCACUGCCAUGACACCAUGGAGGUUCGCUCGCCCUACCAGCUCUUCAAUCUAUUUACCACCUGCACCGCAUUGCAUUGCAUUCUUAUUGACGAUAAUGUUGAUUUAUAUGUGAAUGCAUGCAUGACAUGAGUACAUGACGGACGACGUGCUGUUCGAUGAUGCAGGGACGCUGGAUGAUCACUCUGGCCAAGUGGGGGCUCAGCUACACAGUGGGCAAUGCGGUGGUGGACAUGAAGGUUGACAAGGAGGCCACCAGCAUCCGGGAGGAGAUGUUGUCGCUUGAGGAGGAUACAAUCUGCAUGCAGCACGAGAUGUUGUUGCUUCAUGCGUCCAACGCCGAGCUGCGGGAGCUCAUGGAGCCCUAUAUUGCCAGGUGGCAUGCCAACAAGGAAGAAGAUUUAGAGAUCAUUUAUUGAGUAUAGUAUAUGUAAGAUAUAUUCAGAUUUUCAUAUUAGGCUAGCCAUAGUGGGAGUAACUUACUAGCUAGUAACACAACACAUACCAAGACACAUUGGCUUAUGUGGUAAAGAGUUAAUGAUGAGAGAGGUGUUUGUAAUAUGUCUACAACCUAAUUAAUGUAGGGCUUACAUGACACUAUACUUAUGUUAUUACCCACUAUAAAGAUAGUAACGUAGGCUAGUAACAUGCAUGUUACUAGUCUAAGUUACUUUCCACUAUGGCGAGCCUUAGUGCCACAUCAUGUUCACUUAAUGUGGCACGGGAAUAAGAAAGUCUUAACCAGCAUUGGAUGAAGGCAUGCAAAAUACUCUUUAGUUUUGGAAGAAGAGGUCGUAUUUUGUCCGUGGAUUGUUGUUCAAUCAGGACUCAAUUGUAUGAACCGAACAACACACCACCAACCAUACCUAGCAAAGCAACAAGCAUAUGCACGAAGCAGACCUUCUGAGUUUGUGUGGUUUGUUGAUGAUUCCAUCUUGAUCGUGUUCAGGAGUAGUUCAGGAGAUCGUCAAUGGCUGAACCUCCUCUUACGAGGCUCGUCAAGGUGGUGGGUACUGAACUCUGGGCGAAAGCCUUGGGCAACAUGGCUUGGUACUGGCGGUGAAGGCACCCAUGAGUGUCUUCCCCUUUCUUUGAGACAUUGUUGAAAGUUCAACCUGACGUAAGACCAUAUUGGCUGGAGCUAGGCCAACGUAGUUUCGGCUAAAGUUUUAUCCCGACCGGGGUCAGUGUUGGUGACUUUGACGCAUGUGGCCGCCAUUUUUUCCUCGGAUGCAAUAUCUAAGAGCUCCUCCACACUGCCCUCGGUCUUUCCAGCCCUCGGUCUUUGUUUUGCGUCAGAUGGACUCUUGUUUCGAUUAGGGGUUGUUCGUCUUCAGCAUCAGGAUUUUCACAUGAGUGUCCCUUAAUCAGUUAUGAUGUUGUGUGAUUUUGACCUAGUCUUUUUUUAACCGAACGGAGCGUGUUUGGUUCGGUGGAAUUGGAGAGAGGGAAUGGGAGUUUGAGGCUUAGAGAGUUUUACUCCUUUGUUUGUUUAGGUGGAAUGGGAAUUCAACAGGGAAGUGGAAAGGGAAUUCACGUGUAAAAGUCCCACAUAUCUAUUACCUGGGGGAGGGCUGGUAAUUGAGAUGGGGAAAGGGAAUUAGAGUUAAACUCCCAUUCCCCUUCCGUUAGUUUGCCAAACAGGCUGUAGAGAUACUCAUGCAUCAUUCAGCUUUGCCACGUGAGCGGAUGCCAGUAAGAAUGAAACAGCUGCCCCAUGGUCACGUACAAUGCAAAGCAAUAUCUUUCCCUAAUCUUUUACCUAAUCUUUACCUAAUUUUUUAUUUUUUAAUAAUAAAGCAAAUUGGGUUUCAGUCGUCUGUCAUUAUAAUUACCCUCCAAAUGGUAAAAAUUACCCACCAAUACCACCCGUAAGUGGAAAAACGAUUCAAUUUUUCGGACAAAAAUCGUCGCCCCACUGGUUAUUUAAAAGGGCCGCGACGAAUAGAAUUCAUGGAACAAUGGGCAGCAGAGUGGUUGGGCGAUUUCUGCGGCGAGACCGGGGUUCGAUCCCCAGUUUCCGCAUCUUUUAUCGUUCUUUUCCCACGCAUGUCCUAUCCAUGUGCGGGCUUUUUUGUCGUUCUUUUCUCAUUCUGUUUUCUUUCUUCUUUAAAUUAAUUUGGAAUUUUAAUAUUCUAAAGUUGCGACUUUUUUAAAAAAAAGUUUGAGAAAAUCAUAAAAAAUAUGUGAAUUCAACAAAUGUUUAGAAAAUCAUAAAAAUAUUAGAGAUUCAAAAAAUGUUGGUGGUUUUGCAAAAAUGUGCGCAAAAUUAUUUAAAAAAUCACAAUUUGAAAAAAUGGUUAGGAAAUAAAAUCAUGUUCAUGAUUUUGAAAAAAUGACCGUCUAUUGGAAACAUAUUCGGGAAUCUGAAAAAAAUGUACAUGACAUUUUAGAAAAUGUUCACAAAAAUAAAAGUAAAUAUUUGUUUUUUAAAAUUUGUUCCCAAUUUUUUUAAAAAGUUCAUCGACUCAAAAAUUGUUUGUUGAGUCAAAAAAUGUUAAUGAAUUCGAAACCAGUUCAUGCAUUUAAUUUUUUUGUAAACAAAACCAAUGUUCAUGAUUUUUUUUGAGAAAAUAAAAAAUUUCAAAAGAAAAUGUUUGUCGAUUCGGAAAACUGUUCACUGAUUCAAAAGUAUUUUAUAUCUAGGAUUUAAUUAGUUUUUCAAAAGUCUUUAUAUGUCUUGGCGUUGGGAUUAGUUCGUGGUCAAUGAGAUUUGUUCUAAAAGUUUUUAAACAUUCCCUUGCGCAACAUAGUGACAAGUGUGGCAUGCACUGGCAAACUCAUAGCCUUGGGAUUUACCACGUCGAAUGCAUAUUGACCACGUGGACAUCAAGACCAUCAUCGGCUAGGGUGAGAGAAAAAUGGCAACAUGAUAAGCCACUGUGUAAAAAUAGAGUAUGCUCAUAUAUCAGGAUAUUGAGUCAUACUUAUUUGCUUACCCAUAAUUUUUGUCUCCCGUUGCAACGCACGGGCAUAUUUGCUAAUAAUAAUGAAGCAAGUUGGGUUUCUUUCGUCCGUCAUGGCAUUUUUCAGAAAAGUCCCUCUAUUUCAGAGAAUUCAACCCGCAAUCCUGUUUUAAGUUAAAACGAAUCGUUAUUUUUGUAUUUUACACAAAAGUCCCUGUCAUUUCUUGAAAUCAACCCGAUGUUCGGAUUUAAGUCACAACCGAACCGUUAUUUUACAUUUUUUGAAACCCCCCCUGAUGUUUUAGGUAAUUCAUCCGCGGAUCAUAUUUAAGUCAAACAAAUGCUUUUUAAAAUCAUCCAUAUCUUUUAAACCGUAACUCCGAUUUGAACAUGUUAUAUAUGAAAUUUGAUUAGGAAAAUAUGUAGAAUAUGAAUAUGAGAUUAUUUUUACCUGUUAAAUAUUUUUAAAUAUUAUUUUGGAAUAUAUUUGAGUGAAAUCAAAUGAUCUAAAUUAUCGGUAUCCUUUAAACCGUAACUUCGAUUUUAACAUAUUAUAUAUGAAGUUUUAUUAGAAAAGUGUGUGGAAUCUAAAUAUGAUGUUAAUUUUACCUGUUAAAUAUUUUUAAAUUAUUGUUAUGGAAGCAAAUUUAUAAUUUAUAGCACAAGAACCGUUUUUUCAUACCGGCGGCGACCCAGAUUGUUUGCCUUCUCGAAGAAAUAAAGCUGCAUAUCCCCAAACUCAACUGUUGUGUCACCAUGAGGACAUCUAGCUGCUUGUUGUUCUUUAGUUACUGUUGCUCUUAAAAUUAAUGUGUUAGAUAUUCUUAGGAUAGAAAUUUUAUGGAAUUUAAUGAUCAUUCAUUUAAAAAAAUAUACGUGAUAUUUCCUGUAAAAGGCUGCCUUCCCAUUUAUGGCCUGCUAUUAAAGGGGAGUCACUAGGUCAUUUCCACCACCUCGAUCGAUCCUAACCUCCUCUGUUUUUUAUUUUUAAGCUUGCAGCGAUUCCUGACUCCCACCGAUUUGUCUAGGAACAGAUGCCCAUCCUCCCAUGUUCGGUUUUUAGUUUGUUAUGGAAUAUUAACUAUUAUCUGUACUCCUAAAGGGGAGUUUGCAGCGGUGAUUGUAUGGUUUGAUUUCGUUCGUUUCAUUCCUCCGAAUGAAGGAUCUCGAUCGAUAUUUUCCGAACCUAACCCAUCUCCUUUUUGGUCUUUCCUACUGAUUUCCUGCCAAAACGAACGCGUGGAAAAUCAGUCCACACUACCAAAAUUAUUUCCCCUAGCUUCUCCUAAUCGUUCUGGAGCGGCCUCCUCUCAUCUCUCUAUCUGGGAUGCCCUGGCCUCUCCUUUCUCUGUGUGCAAGUGAUGGCAGCGGGGGAUCCGGGGAACGCGGGCCGGUGGCCGACGGGAAUGGGGACCAGUGGCGGCAGGGAAUGAGAUCUGGUCGCGGUCUACUCCUCUCUCUCUCUAUCUAUGUAUCUAUCUCUCUCUCUCUCUUCCCGGUGCUGGUGUCGCCGAUGCAGUACCAAGUCAGGGUGAUCUUAGUCUUCUUCAAGGUGUCAGACAGAACUGAAGAAGAUGUUGGUGCCAUGAGAGACUUUGUGAUGCAAACGAAUCAUCUCUGUAACUUUGUGAUACAAUAUAAACUUUACAAUAUAGUUGGUUUCCUAUGCAAUAUAAACUUGACAUCUUCGUCUUUUUUGUUUAUAUACAAGGGAUGGUGACUAUGUUAUUGUCAAUGGUGGUCUGACCUAUGACCCAUUUGACAUUGGUUUGCUACAUUUUAAUCUUACUUUACAUGAAUUCUUGUGAGGCUUGUAAUAAACUAUAAUGAUAUUACACAUCACUUUCUGUACUACAUUUAUGUGCAUUCGGAUCUCGCCAAGGCUAAGGUACUGUGAUUCAAGCUUUUCUUUCCAGGAUUUUAUUUUGUACAAACUGAAGAUAUCUAUGAUUUCUGAAGAUGCUUUCAUUUCUUUGGAUCUUUUAUUGUUGGUUGAAAUCUGCGUUGCAGCCCCAACUAAUGCAUCAACUUGGAACCAAGGUUCCCCCUCUAAUAAUCAGGUAGUUUGAGGAUGCAUAUGAUCAUCUUAGUACUAUAGAUCCUCAACAACCUCUGCAUCUGGGAAUGCUGGCAGGAAAGGGUUAUCUGAUAUGGUCAUGAAUGUUGAUUUAACAUGAAUACUUGCAUAUAUGCCACAUGUCACGUGUCAGCAUAGUUGAUCUAAUAUGAUAUUUUAUUUAACUGCAAAUGACUGUUUUUUCACACGAUUGCAGCAUAUAUGCCGCAUGUCAGACUCAUGGGGGUCAAACAGAUGAGGAGAAGGAAGCAGCAAGGAAGAAGGUAGAGGAGAUGGAUACCUGAUCUGCAACUUCCUGAAUUUCAACAUUUAUUGCGUGUUGCUGUGGUAAUAUUGGGUGCAGCAAUUUCACAACUCUGGGAAGAGCUUCUGCUGGAGGGCAUCACCUGCGGCAUCACCUGCAUCGACCUCUUGCUGAUUACCAUCCCAAGGAUGCGCGACCGACUGGCGGAGCAGGGCACCAGUGAUAAGUUCACCGAUUUGGUCGUCUCACCGUUCCCUUCCUCUGUCCACGCAAUGCCGCUCGUUGUUGUUAGGUUGUUAAUUCAUCAAGCCCCUUAUUGCGCUACAUAGUUUGUUCAUCUCGCAUGCCUUCUUAGGAGAAAUCAUGUAAUGAAGAUAAGCUAUUCUUGAUUUACAUUUUAUUUAUUUCUUCCUGCUACGUGUACGAUUUGCUUUGGAAAUCUUCUGACUACUUGCACGAAUUUUAGAACCUACUUGUACAGUUGCCUGCAUGUUGUGUUUGAGAAACAUCUGCUGAUUAAGUGUAAAAUAAUACUUGCAAGUUCUGUUUGUUGACUGCGCCAUGAUAAGCUUUAGGCCUUUAGCUAUACAAAAACUGCUAGAGUAGGUCGCAACCACCUGCAGCUCAAUCCUUGUUUUUCUCAACAUUGACAAUGUAAAGUAAAUGCGGAGCCAAGAUCGAUGGGUCUUGUCCACCACAUCAUUCUCCUAAUGAUGUGAUCUCGUUAUCAAAUGAAAACUCAUGUUCAUGGUUAGGAAACCUUAACCAUCUUUGAUCAACGAGCUAGUCAAGUAUAGGCUCACUAGGGACACAAUGUCUUUCUAUGUAUUCAUGCAUGUAUUUAGGUUUCCAAUCAAUACAAUUCCAGCAUGAAUAAUAAACAUUUAUCAUGAAUAAGGAAAUAUAAAACAACAACUUUAUUAUUGCCUUUAGGGUAUAUUUUCUUCAGUCUCCCACUUGCACUAGAGUCAAUAAUCCAGAUUACAUUGUAAUGAUUCUAACACCCAUGGAGUCUUGGUGCUGAUCAUGUUUUGCUUGGAAGAGGCUUAGUCAAUGGCUCUUCUAUACUCAGAUCCGUAUGUAUUUUGCAAAUCUCUAUGUCUCCCUCCUUGACUUGAUCACGGAUGGAGUUGAAGCAUCUCUUGAUGUGUUUGAUUCUUUUGUGAAAUCUGGAUUCCUUUGCUAAGGCAAUUGCUCGAGUAUUGUCACAAAAGAUUUUCAUUGGACCCGAUGCACUAGGUAUUACACCUAGAUCGGAUAUGAACUCCUUCAUCCAGACUCCUUCAUUUGCUGCUUCCGAAGUAGCUAUGUACUCCGCUUCACACGUAGAUCUGGCCACGACGCUUUGCUUGGAACCGCACCAACUGAUAGCUCCACCAUUCAAAAUAAAUACAUAUCUGGUUUGUGACACUUGGAGUCUUCCGUAUCAGUGUAAAAACUAUCCUUGGUCCUUUUCAGGUACUUCAGGAUUUUCUUGACCGCUGUCCAGUGAUCCACUCAUGGAUUACUUUGGUACCUCUCUGCCAGACUUAUAGCAAGGCACACAUCAGGUCUGGUACACAACAUAGCAUACCUGAUAGAAUCUAUGGCUGAGGCAUAGGGAAUGACUUUCAUUUUCUCUCUAUCUUCUGUAGUGGUCGGGCAUUGAGUAUAACUCAAUUUCACACCUUGCAACACAAGCAAGAGCCCUUUCUUUGACUGAUCCAUUUUGAACUUCUUCAAAACUUUGUCAAGGCAUGUGCUUUGUGAAAGUCCUAUUAACCGUCUUGAUCUAUCUCUAUAGAUCUUGAUGCCCAAUAUAUAAGCAGCUUCAUUGAGGUCUUUCAUUGAAUUUUUAUUCAAGUAUCCUUUUAUGCUAUCCAGAAAUUCCACAUCAUUUCCAAUCAACAAUAUAUCACCACGUAUAAUAUUAGAAAUGCUACAGAGCUCCCACUCACUUUCUUGUAAAUACAUGCUUCUCCGAAAGUCUAUAUAAAACCAUAUGCUUUGAUCACCUCAUCAAAGCGUAUAUUCCAACUACGAGAUGCUUGCACCAGUCCAUACAUGGAUCGCUGGAGCAUACAAACUUUGUUAGCUCCUUUAGGAUCGAAAAAACCUUCUGGUUGCAUCAUAUACAACUCUUAUUUAAGAAAUCCAUUAAGGAAUGCAUUUUUGAUGUCCAUUUGCCAGAUUUCAUAAUCAUAAAAUACGGCAAUUGCUAACAUGAUUCAGACAGACUUAACCAUCACUACGGAUGAGAAAGUCUCAUCGUAGUCAACUCCUUGAACUUGUCGAAAACCUUUUGCCACAAGUUGAGCUUUAUAGAUAGUAAUAUUACCAUCAGCGUCAGUCUUCUUCUUGAAGAUCCAUUUAUUCUUUAUGGCUCGCCAAUCAUCGGGCAAAUCCACCAAAGUCCACACUUUGUUCUCAUACAUGGAUCCUAUCUCAGAUUUCAUGGCCUCACACUACAAAAAAAUACGUGAUGAUACAUGUUUGUCACAGUAGGUCACGUUUUUUGUCAUGCAUGUACAUCCAUGACGAUUUUAUGAUAGAAUCAAGAUAGUCAUACCUGUGCUGUCGUAGAAGUGUUCCAUGACAUUACCAAAAUUAUCAUCACGAAAGUGUCCACUUCCAUGACGAUAAAUCGCGCGUUACAGAAGUGCUUUCGUCAAGGGUGACCGACACGUGGCAUCCACUAUAACGGGAUGCCGUUAAGCUAUCGGGUCGGGUUUUGGAUCCGAUAACCCGUUAACAGCCCGGACCAAUGGGAAAUUUCCACGUGUAAAAUUCUGAUUGGCUGGAGGAAACACGUGUCAGCUCGUCAGUGGGUCAGAUAGGCGCCUAUGAUAUGUCGACACGUGCGACGGCCCACCACUGACCCGUUUAGCUUACAAAGCCGAGCCGUUUGACUUGGUCAAAAGUUAGUGGGCUGGCCCAUGAAAAGCCUGUUAACUGUCUCUUCGCAAAUAGCCCAUUUUACGGCUCGAUAACUCAUGGCCCGUUAGGGCCUAACGGAAAUCGUCCCAACAACGUCAUGUGGUCCGUUGAAUAUAACACCGGCACGUUUCGCUUUCAGCCCAUGUAUGGCCCACGACGUCUUUCGGCCCAUAUGAGGCCUUCGUAUCUUUAGGCCCUUUAGAGGCCCACGGUGACUCUAGCCCAUAAUGAAUAGUAAAUUUCUUUGUACCCGUUAACGGCCCAUGAUUCACAUGAGCCAUUUCCAGCCCGUGUUAGCUUUUGGCCCACUGAUGGCCCAUGCGUUUUUGGGGCUCCUUUACUAACUUGGCUGACUCUGUAGCAUCACUGAUGGCUCAUGUUUUGACAUUUUUCAAGUAAAAAUACAAUGGAGAAUUCAGAACUAAGGAAACAUCAUUGAGCAUUAUAUAUGAAACCAGAAGGAAAACACUUGAUCUAAAGUGCACUGUUUGGGUACCUAGAACAGAACCAUGGCACAAUUUCACUUGUGUGCAGAACACUAGGAAUCAAACAACCAUAUCAUGAUGACUGGUAAUAAAAUUAGAGAGGGCAAAUCCACAACAAUGGUGACACUAGCAAUUACACCGGAAUCAUCACGAGAGGCGUAAGUGUUUCGCAAAAGAAUUAGAUAUGGUACUGUCGUCACCGGCAAAAAAAAAUAGAAUCAGAUAAAGUAUCCAAUACGAUAUCCGGCAAGCAUUGACAGGAAAUAUAUUUUGUUAUUUUGUUAAAAAUUGACAAGGAUAUCAGAAAAAUUGCACUUUUUGCUGAAGUAGCAGCAUUUGUUCAUUCAGCUGCGCAGCUGUCCUGAAGAAAUCCCUCUUGAAAACCUGAAAAUAAAAUAGUAUCAUGAAAAGCUAGAGCUAACCUAUGAAAAGCACUGGAAUGAAAUAUUCAAGAUUUUUAUGUCUUUCCUUUGAUGAUUCCAGACGUCGUCCAACGGUAUACAAUCGCAUAUAUAUCAUGACUAGUAGAUAACAAUCAGAGCUAAACAUGAGGGGAAAAUCCACUAGAAAGGUGGCACUAGCAAUUACACAGGGAUUAUCACAAAAGGCACAAGUGUUUGCGCACGUCCUGCCAAAUGGAAGCCAUGGGGGUGAGGGGCUGCAGUGGAGUUCAGUUAAAAGGGGCAAUGUGUGGGCGUGUGUUGCGAACCUAAAACUCUGAAUUUCCUCUCCAAUACAAGUCUGUAUCUGACCGUCUCUAUCGUGCACAUCACCUCCCCUCAAAUCUAUCGAUCUCUCUCUUCCCUGUCGCAAGCAAAACUGAAAGUUAAGUGUUGGAAUCAAUCAAGACAAGACAAAAUUGGCAUGGAUAGGCUCUCACUUGUGUGACCAGCAGAAGAAUCAUGGCUACAUGAGCUCAUCUUGACUUGUCGAAUCUCACUUAUACUAGACACGCACACUCGGCAUCCACUCGGCAUCCACUCGGCAUCAAAGAUCGCCACCAGUGCAAAUAUAGGGAACACCCUACACUAUACAAAAAUGGCUUGCUGUUUUCUUCAGCCGUUGGCUGCACGUUAAGAACAAAUUUUGUAUCACAGCAAAACAAAUUACAACUAUAAAACAAAAUGAAGGUUGGCAUAAAAGCUAACAGUCUAGCAGAUAAAUGCACCACCAGAAGUUUAGAAGCUCAAUUCAUUUGACCUGACUGUUACGUUUUCAUGCUCUAUUGUCCGAUGGAGCACCAUAACCUUCGUCUUCAUUUCUCCUAGGCUUCUGAACAGCAUAGCAAAUGUCUGAUAGUCUGGUUUCAAAACCAUGCAUAUCUUGACAAAAUCGAACAAUGUCUCUCCUUGUUUCACAAAGGGUCUCUGUUAGGGAAUGGACUUGUGUCUAGAGCGCAGAUAUAACAUUGAUUUGAGCUUGCAUAUAUUGAUCAUGAGGCAGUUUGGACGAGAUUGCCUUAACAACCAACCCAGUAUUACGCAGGAACGUGCUUUUUGGUACUGUUAGUGGACAGGUACUAACCCACUGCAGCAAGAGCUGACAUUGUGGUUAUAGUUGCCUCGCCACCUUCAGAAGGUGGCGGUUCCACCAUUUUUUCCAUAGCUUGCUGAAAAGUUGAGCUUUUACAUUAGUAGUACCAGAACAGAAGAUAUUAAGGAGGCAGCAAAACCAAACAAAAUAGCUUUGGUCUAUAUAGAGAACUUAUUCUGGUGAACCCAUGUAAAAUAUUAGUUGUAUUUUAUUGCAAAGUACAUAAUAAAACCAAGUUCCAAACAUAUGACCAUGUACCAUCGCUAAUGUAUUGUAUAUUUCUUCAUAUUGUAUUGACAACUAAGGAUAAAGACACGAAGUUUAUAAUACGGUAAGCAUAGUAUGACAUCAUUCAUAUCACAAAACAACUGAGAACAGACAAACAUGCAAAUGUAACGUUGUGUGGGCAAGUCCAGUACGGAACUAGAUUACAGGUCAAGAUCAAAGGAACAUCACUCCUCUAUUUUAAACCUUGUAAGGCGCAAUGAUACGCUAAGACAAUUGUGUAUAAAAUUGAAAAGAGUAAUAGACAUUGGCCGCAAACCAUGCAGUUCAAGGCACAAGUCAGAGUAAGUAGUAGUUAAAAGGCAUGAGGAUUAAGGACUUACAGCAGCUGCUUUGACUGGUGUAGUCAUGCCCCUCUUCUUGCUGGUGUGACAGUCCUUGAAGAUUUCCAAAGCAUUUGGUUCGGGUACUUUUUGGUCCUUGCGGGCUUUCCUCUGCAUUUGGAACAAGUCAAUAUAGAUCUGAUAAUAUGGUACAUCAAAAAGAGUGAAACAACAGCUAAUUACAAGAGUCUCGUAGUGUGCAAUAUAGCUACGAGAUCCUGUCGUCUGUUGGAAUUUUAAUUUCGUACGGUUGACCAUGUUCUUUGAAGAGUUCACCUACAAGAAGAUAGNNNNNNNNNNNNNNNNNNNNNNNNNNNNNNNNNNNNNNNNNNNNNNNNNNNNNNNNNNNNNNNNNNNNNNNNNNNNNNNNNNNNNNNNNNNNNNNNNNNNNNNNNNNNNNNNNNNNNNNNNNNNNNNNNNNNNNNNNNNNNNNNNNNNNNNNNNNNNNNNNNNNNNNNNNNNNNNNNNNNNNNNNNNNNNNNNNNNNNNNNNNNNNNNNNNNNNNNNNNNNNNNNNNNNNNNNNNNNNNNNNNNNNNNNNNNNNNNNNNNNNNNNNNNNNNNNNNNNNNNNNNNNNNNNNNNNNNNNNNNNNNNNNNNNNNNNNNNNNNNNNNNNNNNNNNNNNNNNNNNNNNNNNNNNNNNNNNNNNNNNNNNNNNNNNNNNNNNNNNNNNNNNNNNNNNNNNNNNNNNNNNNNNNNNNNNNNNNNNNNNNNNNNNNNNNNNNNNNNNNNNNNNNNNNNNNNNNNNNNNNNNNNNNNNNNNNNNNNNNNNNNNNNNNNNNNNNNNNNNNNNNNNNNNNNNNNNNNNAUUGUACCUAAUACUUCGGAUCAGACCAGUGUUUAACGAGGCCUCUCCAGUCUUCAUCUGAUAUAUUUUUCAUUGGAGAUGUUUGGGCAAGUUUACUGUUAGCCUUGCCUUCAAAGUGAGUUUUCCUCAAGUUAUACCGAUACUGUCGUAGAGCAGACUUUAAAACAUGGGUGCAAGCUUGUCUGGUUGCAUCAUCUUGGCUAUCCAACUUGAACCUCAUCUGUUAAAAAUUAUGAGAGUCUCAUUAUCAACAACCUAGAAAGCAUGCGACAGAGCAAGACGAUAUUACUAGUUUCCAUACAUAACCAUACUUACAGAUAAAUGGUCAAGGAAGGUGUUGAACUGGGUUUCGUCUUUGUCAUUCCUGUACUGAAACCAUGUUGGGAGGAUACGCACAUGACACCUAACGACAACCGUUGCCUCUGAUACUAACUUGGCUGACUCUGUAGCAUCACGUGGCCUUUUUAAACCUGCCUCUAAACGGAUCUCCAUUCUUCCUCCUAUGGAUUUAGUUAACCUAUCGAGCAUUAUCCCUGAUGUUUGUUUCCUCCUGCGCCUAGGUGCUAGUCCAACAACGAACAUAGGAAGUGUUAGUGUACAUCAAACUGCGAGACUACAUAUAAAGAAGCAUGCAACUGUAACUUGACUCCAUCAACUACCUUCUUGCCGUUGAAGCUCACAAGGUUCAUCUGAUCUUGCCAACUCGUCUUGUGUCAACAGUGCUUGGGAAGUAGUGUCAGGUGGCAAGGGAGCUUGGGAACGUGCUGUUAGCUCAGUUGACGCAUGAGUAACUCAUGCAGCUGGUAGUGCUGUGGAAGGUGUUGCAACAACUAGGGCUGUCUUUGCUUAUUUGGUGGCAGCUAUUUGUUUCCGUUUGGCUUGUUCUGCAGCUCGUGUAGCACGGGAUAACCAGUUCGUAGAAUUUUCCGCUGGACAUUGACCUUCUAUUGCACCAUCAGUACCAGUAGAAUCUGCAGGAUUCUUCCACUUCCCAUUCCCUGUCAUUCCGUGUUGCUUAUUCUUUCUCUGUGCCAUGUUAAGUCAAGCCGACAAGAAAAACGAAUAACAAUUUUGUUCUUCAGAAUAAAUUGAUGCGUGAUACAGACGAACUUGUUCUUGCAGAAUAAAUUUAUGUUUCCAUGGAUUUUGUUUAGAUUUUUUUGAAACUUCUAAAUAUACUUUUUGGUAUUUUCAAAAUAACGAGCUAUCUAGAGCUCGGCCUCCAAAAACCCGCACUCAGUUUGAGUUGGCCUUUAAGUCCUUCCCGGAUAUUAUGGAUGGGAUGCCCUACUACUAUGCUUACAGGUUAGAGCAAUGAACUUCAGGAAAAUGCAACUAUUAUUAAAUCUUCAGCCAAUUGCAACUUACCAUAUGUAUCAUGUUUUCCUAUAACUUGUAGAUCAAUGAGGAGUCAUUGGGAGCAUGAGAAUCAGCUUGCUAAGUGCCAGAAACCAUAGGAUCUCCCCCCAUCCCAUAUCCUCAGCUAUGUCCUACUUCUGCUCUUAAACUUUGAGAUGACGAUAUGCACGAUCCUUACAGAGCAUCACGAUGUGGUUCCCCCAGAACCAAAUAUACUCGAAAAAUCCUUCGCACAUUGCUGCCGAAAUUUAAGGAUAAAAAUGUAAACUAAAUACUAAUUCAAAAUUUUAUAUAAUAGUCAUGAAUAAGUUGGUCAUCAAAUAAUGUAUAAUAAUAUGGACAAACAAAGAGCAUAGAGAUAAAAUUUCAUAGUAUAUAGCAUGCACUAUUAUCAACACAUAAGUUUCACAAUAUACAUGUCGUUAGUCAAACUGUAGUCUCUAGUCAUGAAUUAGUCGCAUAGUGUCCAUCUAGUAUGCAAGUAAAAUUUUGUAUUAAUAUAAACAAUAAACGCAAAGGUCUUACUUUCAAAUUUAGUGAAUGUGAAAGAAUAUUUUAGAAAAGAUACCUUUAAAUUCCUUUGGGUCAUUUUUCCUAUAAUAUAAGAUACACAAACCUUGGGCACAUGUGACAGAAUCUUGCAACCAAAAUAGUGAAAAUGACUUGAUUUUCUAUUUAUAAUCCAUAAAAACUUGGACGAUAGAAAAAAAAACCAAGAAGACGAUUUGAUUUUUUUAGUAAACAAAAUAAAAACUGAUUUUUUUUAGUUAACAACAUACAAAUAUGAAAACCAACACAUUAUUGUCAUGUUGUAUCUCCAUAUGUUAUGGACCAGAUGAAGAAAAGAGUGAGCAGCACAGGGAAAUGCCAAAAGGAGCCAACCGUAUGCAACAGCCAAAUCUACAUCUAGUCUUGAUGGUAACAUGGCAUGGACAACAAAGUUGGAGAAGUGAGGAAUUAUGUAGCAUGUGGGAAGCAAAAGAGGCAUGAACAGGAAGCGCAACAGAAUGGGAAUGAGAAAAGAAAGUUGUUUGCGCUUUCGGAACAAGACGAUCACAUUAACAACACAUGAAGUCAAAUGAGUGGUUGAACGGGGACUUCUGUUGGACGUCUGGAAUGGAUUCAAGACAUAUACAUGAAGCAAAUAAAAUAAAAUAAUCGAUUAUUAUUUGUGGCAUGCUGCACGUACAUGUAGAGUAAGUGGGAGCAUACACAUGAAGACUUAGUGGGAAAACGUUUUUACAUGAUAUACCUGCUUGAUAAUGUGGAUAGGUUACAUGUCAAGAUAAAUAAUAUAGUGGGGAUGACUGUUGAGCAAUGUUCAAAAUAUUGCUCUUGGGAUUUUUUAGAAUUAAGUCAAUUGGCAUCUAGUCGGUCCCUACAGAUCGUUGUUUUGUAUUUCUUCUAGGACGUCACCUUGACUGACAUCUUUUGACCAUAUGAUCCUGACUCACCUCUCCUCUCUCCUGAAUAGUUACUUCCACUCACACCCGGAUAUCCCUUUUGGAGCUCGGCCUCUAGUGAGGCCUCCAAAUACAAAUUUCAAAUUUCAUCAAAAUUCAUAUUUUAAUAUUUUAAAAAAUUCUAAAAAAUAAUACAGAUAUACAUGAAGGCAUAACACACAUGUUUGUAAAUUUUCAGUUUAAAAUACAUUGAAAUGAGGGCUGUGCAAAAAAGACAAAUAUGAUGUUGUUUAACACAUGAUACUAUUCAUUCUCUCAGGCCAUGAAUUUGUCUUUUUUGUACAGGUCGCAACUCAAGGUAUUUCAUCAUGAAUUUUUACACACAUGUGAGUUACAUCCUUACAUAUACGCAUUUUUUUCCAGAAUUUUUUGAAUCAUAAAAGUUUGAAUUUGAAAUUUUCAAAAACAAAGGCCUUCAUGGAGCUCGGCCUCCAAAACGCCUUUCUCACUCACACCACACUUGUCUCUCCCACCAACUAGUACAUACAUUUGAUUUUCCAAGCUUAAACUUAGGACAAGCCCAAUAUGUUGAAAUAAAUAGCCGAUAAAUAAUCUGAAACAUGUCUCUUUCUUUUGAUGAUAUAUCCAAAACAAGCCCCACUAUGAGUGAAAUUAGUUUUUUGAAAUCAAUUAUUUUUUUAAACUAGUGUCUUUUUUUGAAAUGAGAGAAAUUGUUUUCUUGAAGUUAAAUCAUUGUGUUGAAAUGAGUGAAAUAUGUGUUUGAAGUAGUGAAUUCAGUUUUUUGAAAUGAGUAAAUCAGUAUUUUCAAAUGAGUGGAAACAACGCUGCGUGCCUCUCUCAACCCCUGUUUCCUUCCGUGUGAAAGGCCACGGGCGAGUUACUUUGCCGUCGGAUCUUUCUCGUUGUACAAAUAUAAAGUUUUGCAACUUUUCACCAAUAAUACUCGUUCUACCGCUUCUGAAUCAUGGAAGAUUCAGAUCAAAAUAUAUCACUAAGCAUUAGCAGAUGCAAAUGACUUGCAUGUCAGCAGUGCUUAAGAAUAAAGGACAUAGUUUGGACUUUGGAGCUUAAUUAAUUAGCAUCAAUAUGAUACUAGUACAAACAAUGCAACACGGCUAACUUUAUGCAUGCAUGCUCAGACCAAGACACCAUCUCACACACCACUGCUUUCAUUAUACCUUAACCAAUCAGAUACGCACACCCGGAGGCCAAUGACAUCAUGACACGUACGAGCCACACAUGCAUGCUCACGCAGCUAAUCAAAGGACUUCUUAUCACACUAACAGAUGCAUGUAAAUGAAAGCAGGGACACACGUACGUACAGCUACUACCACGUUCACAAACGCGCUCGUAUCCCGGCCACCUCAAGGUAUCACGCCACCGCCUCCCCCUCCUCCACCUCCGCCACCAGCGCCGAAGCCGCCGCCAAACCCACCGAAGGGCCCAGCGCCGGCACCAAACCCGCCGUGCGGACCAAAGCCAGCGACGCCCCCGCCGAGAGGGCCACCGUUGACGGCACCGCCGAAGAGGCCGCCGUCACCACCGUUGCUCCCAGCAAAGGCGGUCUUGGCUUCGCCGAAACCAGCACCGUCUUGGUUGUUGCGACCGGCAGCAAGAGCAACGGUGUCGCAGUCGUCCCCGGCAGGCAUGCCCCUGCCGGCCACCGCCACGGCGAGGCACAGCAGGAGGGAGGCGAUGCACCACCACUUGCUCAUGGCUCUUGGGUUUGUCUCUGCGAGGUGGCUGAGGUGAGUAACGCAGUGGCAGGGGGGUUUAAAGGGAGGAGGAGGACGAGAUGGCCAGAUGGGCAGGUGCGAGCGCGUGACAGUAAUUAAAUUUUGGCAGCCGGCAAGCGGGUGGUUGUUGCCAUGCAUGGCGCAAUAACUCGGAGAUGAAGAAGUAGGUCCAUGAGAAGUUAUUGCGAUCGACGCAGGGUAUCUUGUACUGUAGCUACACUCGUCAGAAAUAAAGUGCUGAGACGAUUUUACUCAGUGUUAGUUUUGACAGCGUAAAAUGUGCAGUGCAUUAUAAACCACUUGAGAAAACCAGCCAAAAGAGAUUGUCACCGGAGAUGACUCCGUGGUGGCUCGAGAUCAGUUCGGUUGCAUGCUUGUCACUUCUGACGUUUUAAUAUGAUAUCUGUUGGAAAUAUGAGCAAAUUACUACGAGAUUUAAUCUGAAUAAAUAGAAAAUAGAUCAUGACAGCAAUAGCAGAGAUUAAACUAAUCAUGUGAACUAGCAUAGCAGAUGAACAAAUCACAUCUAGGGCACAUACUAGAAACAUGAAUUCUACCACGAUCUCGAACAGGAAGGAUAGAAUCACAUACGGUGCAGCGGGAGCAGCACCGCCGGCGUUGACGUUGUCGCCCAUGUCGUCGAGGAUGAGAUUGCCGAGGUCGGGGAAGAAGUCGUCGUUCGCGAAGUCGUCGCUGCCAGCAGUCGCGCGAGUGCGCUCCCCAAAAACCUGAUCGCCCCUCUCCCGUACAGGAUCACGAGAGGCGGGGUUCCGAAGGCCUGCUGUCCCUUCUCCCGGUGCACGCCGAAAGGAGGGAUGGAGAAGACUUGCUUGGCGGCGCAAUGAUCUGGAGCGCUGGUGAGAAACCAUACGAAGCGGCGGCGGCUAAAGUAGACGUCUGCCUGACUAUAUAGUGCGGGCCGGGUAGGUCGUGGGAGUAUCCAAAAGAAUCGGAAACGGUUCAGUAAUUAACGCGUCCGUUAAUUAUUAAUUAAUGACUCAUUAAUUUUCCCGAGCAGCAAAAAUAUAGACAACGUGCAUAGCUCUGUCCUCGGCUCGGCUCAAUACCGCAACCCGCGGCGCGGCGCGGCGCGGCGCGGCGCGUCGUGACGAGGCGUGGCGUGGCGAGGAGGAGGAGCGCGCGUGUAGGUCUCCUCUUCUCAUGCUCAUACAAGUGGUAGAAGAGCUCACCUUAUAAAGAGGUGCAACUCUCUCUCAACUUAUGAGGUGGGACUAAACUUUAGCCUCACUCACUCCACUCACAUGUGUGCAUGAAUGGGCCAAGAGAAUUUCACAAUUUUAGUUGGGCUUUGGGCCAAAAACCCACUAGCAAAUUCCAACAAUCCCCCACAAAGUCUCAUUGGCACAUUUCACCAUUUAUUUUCAAAACAUUGUUUAUAUACCGGUGCUUAGUGGAGACUGUGAAGUUUAACUUCCACUUAGAGAUAUAUGCUACACUAGAUCACAACUUGAAUAGUGGACUAUGCCUUGAACUACAAGUUUUCUGCGAGACUAGUUUCACACAAACUCUUGACCGAUACUGGGCUGCCGCAAGGCUUCCCCGCAGGUGGAGCAUAUACGUCAUACUCCAGGGCCUUUCAUGAAUUUAUUAGAGAACACCCAAUUCUCACAGACUGCGAUGUUAACAGUCAAAUUCAUAUAGGUGUGUUCCUCAGAAGAUGUUCUGCAGGACAACAUCUCUGCUUACCCGAAUAAGCCACUUGGAACACAUUAAGAUAAGUAUCAACCUGCCAUGCAGAUCAGGAGAGUAUUGCAUCUUCACGGAGUGGGAUAGUUAAUAUAGGGAUACUCUCCUCCCAGCUGACCAACAGCUUGUCUUCCACUUCUACUUCACGGGAUCUCCGAUCACAUAGAGUGGGUUACCAUUGUGGACAACUCAUGCGGUGGGUCUCAGACCCAUCUCCAUCGAUGCAUUAUCUAUCACAUUACAUGAUAGACCCUUUGUGAAGGGAUCUGCCAAGUUUUUCGAUGUUUGGAUAUAAUCCAAUGUAAUAACUCCGGAGUUCCUCAGUUUCCUGACAGAUUUUAAUCUCCUCUUCACAUGCCUUGAGGACUUCAUAUUGUCCUUAGCACUGUUUAUCUUGACGAUCACAGUUUGAUUAUCACAGUUCAUCAGGAUAGGGGGUAUUGGUUUUUCAACCAUAGGUAAGUCCAUCAAUAGCUCACGAAGCCACUCUGCUUCAACAGUGACAGUGUCUAAUGCUGUGAGUUCUGCUUCCAUAGUUGACCUCGUUAAGAUGGUCUGCUUGCAAGACUUCCAGGAAACAGCGCCACCACCAAGUGUAAAAACAUAACCACUUGUGGCCUUAAUUUCAUCAGCAUCAGAUAUCCAGUUCGAGCCACUAUAACCCUCCAGUACCCUUGGAUACCCGGUGUAGUGAAUCCCAUAGCUCGCAGUGCCCUUCAAGUAGCGCAUAACUCUCUCAAGCGCACGCCAAUGAUCAUAUCUCGGUUUUGACACAAACCGACUCAGCUUGCUCACAGCAAAGGAGAUGUCAGGCCUCGUGGCACUCGCCAAAUACAUAAGCGAGUCAAUAAUUUGAGAAUACCUCAGUUGAUCUCUAGCAAUCCGUCGAUUCUUUCGAAGCAACACACUAGCAUCAUAUGGAGUUGGAGAAGGCGUGCAGUCGCUAUACCCAAAACGACUCAAGACCUUUUCCACAUAGUGAGACUGAAGCAGUGUGAUCCCACCAUUCUCAUCUCUCAACAGCUUGAUGUUUAAGAUAACAUCAGCUACUCCUAGAUCCUUCAUCUCAAAACGCGAGAUAAGAAAUCCUUAACCUCCUUGACUAAAUCAAGUUUGGUUCCAAAGAUCAAUAUGUCGUCGACAUAUAGACAAAGAAUAACUCCUUCGCCCCCACCAUAGCGAUAGUACACGCACUUGUCACCAUCGUUUACUACAAAGCCGACAGUAGUUAAUGUUCUUUCAAACUUCUCAUGCCACUCCUUAGGAGCUUGCUUAAGGCCAUAUAAAGACUUUAACAACUUGCACACCUUUCCUUCCUGACCAGGUACUACAAAACCAUCUGGCUGAUCCAUGUAAAUUUCCUCCUCCAACUCUCCAUUGAGGAAAGCCGUCUUAACGUCCAUUUGAUGAACGAGAAGACCAUGUGAGGCAGCCAGUGAUAGUAGCACCCGAAUUGUGGUCAGUCUAGCCACGGGUGAGUAAGUAUCAAAGAAGUCUUCACCUUCUUUCUGGGUAUAACCCUUAGCCACAAGCCGUGCCUUGUACUUUUUAAUCGUACCAUCAGGUCUAAGCUUCUUCUUGAACACCCACUUACAUCCUACAGGUUUGCACCCAUAAGGACGGUCAGUGAUCUCCCAGGUUUCGUUAGCUAAGAUGGAAUCCAUCUCGCUACGAACAACUUCCUUUCAGUAGUCAGCAUCAGGAGAUGCAUAUGCUUCUGAAAUAGUCCUGGGUGUGUCAUCCACAAGGUACACAAUGAAAUCAUCACCAAAGGACUUUGCAGUCCUCUGUCUCUUACUCCUUAUAGGAGUUUCAUUGUCACCCUCUCAACUGGAUUCUCAACGUGUUCCAUCGCAAUGGUGGGUUCAGGAAUUACAGUGAGUUCCUCACUAGAUGGAAUAGGUAUCUCCUGAUUUGAUGAACUUGACAUAUCCUUCAUAGGAAAUAUAUCCUCAAAGAAAGUUGCAUCAUUAGACUCCAUAAUCGUACCAACAUGCAUGUCGGAUACCUCAGAUUUUAUUAUCAAAAAUCUAUAGCCAAUGCUAUGAAAAGCAUAGCCCAGAAGAACACAAUCCAUGGUUUUUGGUCCAAGCUUGCGCUUCUUGGGAAUUGGUAUAUUGACUUUCGCCAAACAACCCCAAGAACGUAGGUAAGAGAGUUUCAACCUUUUCCUUUCCCAUUCCUCAAAUGGAGUCAUGGUCUUAUGCUUUGUGGGAACUCGGUUUAGGACAAGACACGCGGUCAUUAGCGCCUCCCCCCACCAUUCCUUGGAAAGACCCGAUGUGUCUAACAUGGCGUUAACCAAAUCAGUUAGAGUUCGGUUCUUUCUUUCGGCCACCCCAUUAGACUGAGGUGAGUAGAGAGGCGUCCUCUCAUGGAUUAUACCAUGUUCCUCACAAAACAGAUCAAAUUCAUUGGAAAAAUACUCUCCACCACGAUCGGACCUAAGCCGUUUAAUUUUUCGAUCAAGUUGGUUCUCUGGCUCAGCUUUAUAGUUUUUGAAGAAAGUUAAAGCCUCAUCUUUUGAUUUCAGAAGAUACGCAUAACAAUAUCUAGUGGAGUCAUCAAUCAACGUCAUGAAAUAUCUCUUUCCACCUUUUGUCAACACGCCAUUCAUCUCACAAAGAUCAGAAUGUAUAAGCUCUAGUGGUGCCAAGUCUCGUGCCUCUGCAGUCUUAUGGGACUUGCGAGGUUGCUUAGCUUGCACACAUACUUGGCACUUAGAGCCUUUGACAGCAGAGAUUUUUGGAAUUAAAUUCAGAUUGGCUAGCCGCGUCAUGCUACCAAAGUUAAUGUGACAAAGUCGUGAAGGCCAAAUAUCAGACUCAUUGUUGUGGCAAACAUUAUUAAUAACUUUAGUGCAAAUAUCUGACAAAGAUAGGCGGAACAAGCCUCCGCACUCAUAGCCUUUUCCAACAAAUUGUCCACACUUGAAAAUUACAACUUUAUUGGACUCAAAAACCAACUUAAAACCAUCUCGACAUAAAUGGGAACCGCUAAUGAGAUUUUUAUUGAUGGACGGCACAUGAUGAACGUUCUUCAGACGCACGGUCUUCCCCGAAGUAAACUUCAGAUCGACCAUACCAACACCUCAAACGAUGGCAUGUGACCCGUUCCCCAUCAGCACGGGAGAAGUCCCUGUGGCCUGGUAAGAAGAAAACAUGGAGGCGUCAGCACAAACAUGUACAUAGGCACCGGUGUCAAUUAACCAAUCAGGGGAUUGAAAUACUGAAAGGAUGGUAGGAAAAAUACCGUACCCUGAUUCCUUCAUAUCAGUAUCACCGAUGACAACAUUAGCGGACUUGCCGCUCUUCUCAUGUUCGCGCUCCUCAAAGCGGUUAGGACACUUCGGAGCCCAGUGAUUAGGAUCACCGCAGACAUGGCAAAGUCCCUUCCCCUUCUUAUGAGAAUUCUUCUUGAAGUUGGUAGAAUAUGAUGGCUUGUUCUUUGUAUCAAACUUGCCUUUGCCCUGAGUUUUGUUCUUGUUGUUUUUGAACUUGUUGGGCUGGAAGUUCUUCUUCUGUACCAUGUGGGCACUAGAAGCUCCCUCAGCAACUCGAGCACGUGUGUCUUUUGCUCUCGCCUUCUCUUCAACAUCAAGAGUACCAAUGAGAUCCGUAACAGAGAACUCCUGUCUCUUGUGUUUCAGGGAAGUAGCAAAAUUGUUCCACGAAGGUGGAAGCUUGGCAAUAACGCCUCCGGCAACAAAUUUGUCCGGCAACACACACUUAAAGUGCUCAAGUUCUUUUGCGAGCGACUGUUUCUCAUGAGCCUGCUGUACAACAGAGCGCUCAUCAGUCAUCUUGUAGUCAUAGAAUUGCUCCAUGACGUACAACUCGCUACCGGCGUCCGAGGCACCAAACUUGGCCUCGAGCGCAGCCCACAUGUCAUUGCCGUUGUCAAACGACAUAUACGAAUCCACAAUGGAAUCAUCAAGAACACCCAGAAGAGCGCCUUUAAAGAGAGUAUCGAUCUUCUCAAAAGCUUCCAACUGUGCUGGAUUAAGAUCGCCCUCAGGCUUGCCCUUAAUGGCGUCAUAGCAGCCCAUGGUCUGAAACCAGUAGACUGCUCUCGUGCGCCACCUCUUAUAUUGCGCCCCCUUAAAGGCAGGCGGCUUCAGAUGCGCAGCAAAAUCACUCGGAGUAAAUUGCCUAUAAUCAGGUUUUUGGAUUGUUGGAAAUAUGAUCAAAUUACUACCAGAUUUAAUCUGAAUAAAUAGGAAAUAGAUCAUGACAGCAACAGCAGAGAUUAAACUAAUCAUGUGAACUAGCAUAGCAGAUGAACAAAUCACAUCUAGGGCACAUACUAGAAACAUGAAUUCUAUCACGAUCUCGAACAUGAAGGAUAGAAUCACAUACGGUGCAGCGGGAGCAGCACCGCCGGCGUUGACGUUGUCGCCCAUGUCGUCGAGGAUGAGGUUGCCGAGGUCGGGGAAGAAGUCAUCGUUCGCGAAGUCGUCGCUGCCAGCGGUCGCGCGAGUGCGCUCCCCAAAAACCUGAUCGCCCCUCUCCCGUACAGGAUCACAAGAGGCGGGGUUCCGGAGGCCCGCUGUCCCUUCUCCCUUCUCCUGCUGCCCCUGUUCCGGAGGCCAAAAAGAAUCGGAAACAGUUCAGUAAUUAACGCGUCCGUUAAUUAUAAUUAAUGACUCAUUAAUUUUCCCGAGCAGCAAAAAUAUAGACAACGUGCAUAGCUCUGUCCUCGGCUCGGCUCAAUCCCGCAACCCGCGGCGAGCGAGGAGGAGGAGCGCGCGUGUAGGUCUCCUCUUCUCAUGCUCAUACAAGUGGUAGAAGAGCUCACCUUAUAAAGAGGUGCAACUCUCUCUCAACUUAUAAGGUGGGACUAAACUUUAGCCUCACUCACUCCACUCACAUGUGUGCAUGAAUGGGCCAAGAGAAUUUCAGAAUUUUAGUUGGGCUUUGGGCCAAAAGGCCACUAGCAAAUUCCAACAAUAUCCUUUCAUUAACGGUCAAUCGAUGAACUCCUUGACCUGGCACUUUCCAUCUGCCCCUCAAAUUAAGGCCUGACCAAAUCAGGGGCAGCCAAAAUAUUGACUUGGUGUCAGAAUAGCUGAAGAGAGUCAUGGUGGGCUGGGCGUGCCAAAAAGUUGGAUGCCAUCCAAACAGACAUUCAUCGCUCGGUCAAAUCUAAUAUUUUGGCAUGGCAGGCGAUGGUUGCAAUCCAAACAACCCCUAACAACAAGGUAGGCCCCAGCUCUCGUUUGUACAACACUGACGUGUAAAAGAAUGCUAUAGUUUGCAAUUUUGCAUCUCACAAGUAUAGAUCAUCUUGUAGUAACUGGCAUGAUCUUGAACGUCUAAGAAAAUUAUGUCCCAGAAACUGGGAUGUUUUUUUUCCUGAAGGAGAAUUAGAAAUUAAUGAUGUCGCCUACAGUGAUAACAUCAGUGUGAGCUACAUGAGUAUCCUUAGCGUAUACCUCCUAGAAGGAAAAUUAUGUGAUACUGUGCAAGUACCGCUAUCUACCAAUAUUCCAAGACCAAACAGUAUCCAUCCUUUACAACCCUGACUGUUCAGUCAUGCGAUCAUUGACAUAAUGACAUAUACACUAAUUUGAUUUCUUAGCCGAGUACCCCUGGAACUCGACAUGCCACGACGCGGUCCUCAACCGACCAUACAAGAAAGAAUGACAUUGUUCCGCCGUUGCAUUUUGGUAACUUUGAGCACAUUCUGCACUGGCAUAGCUAAGUUUUUUUCUUUUUGAGGGAACACCAAGCUCAGAUUUGGUUUAAACUUGUACUCCAUAGUGUCAUGAUAUAGAAACAAUAGAUUUGCAGUGAGUAACAACUGAAAACUAAUGAUAUUGGUAUGUAAGUCUUUGUAGCUCAACACAUAACACAUGCAUUGUUUCUAUGCGAGAAAGAUGGCAUAUUAGUUGCAUGCUCAAGGCCUAAAAUUCUACUCCCUCCGUUUCAUAUUAGUUGAAGCUGAGUUAUUAUAAACUGUACUAAAUUAGCGACAACUAAUAUGAAAUGAAGAGAGGAUAUAAAUUCAACCGCGUAAGAUGUCAAUAUUAAUCACAUACACAACACACAGAUUUAUAUAACUUGGCAUUGAGCUAAUAAAAGAUAUCAAGCGAAACAUAUAUUUCAUAUUUUGCUGCCACUAUAUUGAUAUAAAGAUAUAACAAUAAUGGCUCCUCACUCCAGCCUCCACCCACCUCCCACCUCACCAAUGGCGGCCAUUGACCAAGGCCUUUUUAACUGGGAUUUCUCACCUGGCCUGGUCGCAGCUCAGGUGCAUUAACCCUUUGGCUGUACUCCCUCCGUCCUUUGAAGAGUGUACUUCAAACCUUUAUAUGUUUGACCGUAUUUAUACAAUAACGCAUCAACAUUUAUGCCAUCAAAUUAGUAGCAUUAGAUUCAUGAUAAAAUAUAUUUUCAUCAUAUACCUAAUUGGUUUCGUAAACAUUGAUAUAUUUUUGCACAAACUUGGUCAAACAUUGAGAUAGUUUGACCCUCCAACAAAAUUAAAAGUACACUCUUUAAAGGACGGAGGGAGUAUGGUGCAUUUCCCUUCUUCUGGCUUGACCAAGGGGGUUUUCUUGGUUGUCUCCUUCUCCUCGGCAUCCUUUACUCUCAAGCUAGAUUCAGUUGGUUUUUGCCCGAUUUGUGAUGAAUCCCGACAUCUAGAGGUGGAUUGCCCGCGGAUUCAUGUUCUGUGUCAACAACGAUCCUGCAUUGUUGUACGCCUACGACUACUAAUCAGGAGCACUAUACUAAUUUAUUUUUUAGUCUAAACACACUCGACUUUAUUGAUUAUAAAAGUUCAUAGGAAGACUAUAGUAAAUGAGUCCCUCCUAUAGAUGCUACAAAGAAGCACCUCGCUCUUGGCCCAAUAAGCCCAUGGGACCACACUCUGACGUUCGUUCACAAUGGACCAAUCCGCGGAUUGCCCAGGGACUUCUAUUUAGCACGNNNNNNNNNNNNNNNNNNNNNNNNNNNNNNNNNNNNNNNNNNNNNNNNNNNNNNNNNNNNNNNNNNNNNNNNNNNNNNNNNNNNNNNNNNNNNNNNNNNNNNNNNNNNNNNNNNNNNNNNNNNNNNNNNNNNNNNNNNNNNNNNNNNNNNNNNNNNNNNNNNNNNNNNNNNNNNNNNNNNNNNNNNNNNNNNNNNNNNNNNNNNNNNNNNNNNNNNNNNNNNNNNNNNNNUUUUUCGUUCUUUAAAAUAAUUCAUGAUUUCAAAACUAUGGGAAACAGCUAAUUUGCCGUCAGGGGCGUCUUUGCCAUCAGCUUUUCGUCGGACAGACGACAAAGAAAGGAUUUGCCACCAUCAGUAGACGACAAAGAAAAACUGACGGCAAAAUAGACUUUGUUGUCUGUCGAAAAAAAAACACAGAUGACAAAUGGCUCACUUUGCCGUCUGCGAAAACAAACACAGACGGCAACGAUCUUUGCCAUCUAGGUUUUCUAUUACAGACGGCAAAAAGCACAAUUUGUCGUCUGUAAUAAAUGCUGACUGCAAAGGUCUUUGCCGUUCGUGUUCUAUAUUGCAGAUGGCACCGUUUGUAAUAUAAAACGCAGACGACAAAGAAGAAGCACACCACGCAGAUCAAUGACGUGACGGCCCCUCCAAACCCACGCAGCCACAACGACCCAUCCUUAUACAUGCAUGCAGCCCCACCCACCCACCCACACCGCCAUCCCACCCACGCCCGCACACACCACACAAACACACCCACGCAUCCACGGCCCCGCUUCUAGUCAUCUCCGGCGUGUCCGCCAGACCCGUCGCCCGUCGCCUCCGCUGUACCGGCCCGGUACCCCGUCGCCCAGGCGAGCAGGGAGGCAGCGGCCCUGUCUCUAGUCACUGGGUCGGGCCCUCCCCCAUCGCCCCGAGGAGCCGCACGUGGCCGGCCAUGGCGCCACCAGCCCCGGCCCUCCCCUGUCUGCUUAAGCAGUGGCCGGCCCUGCUGCCUGGUGCCGCCGGCCCCGGCCCCCUCCCCCUCUUUGCCCCUGGCACCCGUCGCCCUGAGCAGCCAUCGGCCUCCUCCGCACGACGCCCGGCUUGGCUCACCGCCCGCCUCCGAGCAUCAGCAGAUGCCCACCCCCGCCUAAGCCGCCCUCCUCUUCCUCCCUCUCUCCCUUCUCUCAGGUCGCGGGCGUCCAGAUCGAACUCCUGUACUCUAACAUAAUAUAAUUUGUUCGUGUAUAAUCGGUUCAUCUUGUUAAAUAGAGUAGUUUUGUUUUGGACAGCUAGUGAUGAUGAAUAUUUUUGUCUUGUGAAGUAUGUUCGUUCAUCGUUGAUUCUUGAGACAGCAGUGUGUAUGGAUAUUGUGGUGUUCUUCGUCAGUUAGUUCUUCGUCGCCUCUGCACUUGUUUGCACGAUAUUUUUUAAAGUAAAAACAAUUAUUUGUCCUCUAUGAUGUUUGACGCUGAUGACAAAGAUGGAUUAUGGCUGACGGCAAAGGACUGACACCGUCCGUCAGGGCCUUUGGUCUGUUAGGUCGCUUUUUUUUGCCACCUGGCUAGUCUCACUAACGGCAACCACAAUUGCCUAACGGAAAAUCUUUGCCGUCACCCCGAUGAAAAACUGAUGGCAAAGUACCUCUUUGCCGCUUCAGCUUUACCGUCUAUCUUUGCCGUCUGUAUAACGAUCUUUGCCGAAUGUACAUGCCUGACGGCAAAGUAGCCGAUUCUUGGAGUGAAAAGAUCCAAUUGUUUUGAAUUUCCAAAAAUGUUCAAAGCUCAUGGGUUCAAAAAAAUGUUCAUAAUUUUGAAAAAUUUGCACGAUUUUGAAAACAAUGUACAUGAUUUUCAAAAAUGUUCAUGUAUUCAUUUUUGGUUGUGAACUUUUUACAAAUGUUCACAACAAUAAAUAAUGUUCGUGAAUUAACAAAAAAAGUUCAUCAAUUCAAAAAAUGUGAUGAAUUCAAAAAAUGAUCACCCCUUUUAAAAACAUGUUCUUGAAAAAAUGAAAUUCAAAACUUGUUCUAAAGUUCCAAAAAUAUAAGUAGAUUCAAAAAAUGUUCGCCGAUUCAAAGAAAUGUUCACUAGUUAAAAAAAUUCAAUAAUUGUUCACAAUUUGUAAAAACAAUCAUGGAUUCAGAAAAUGUUAUGAACUAGCAGAGUGGCCCGCCCGAUGUGCGGACUAGAAUUUUAUAAUUAUUUUCGGAGAACACAAUGUGUGAGGGCUCCAUCUUCAAUUUAUUCAAAGUUCAAAGAAUUUGGAAAAGAAAUUAAUGUUUUUUCUAUAUGUUCACAUUGGGUAGGAAAUAAUACAUAUGUAUAGCCACAACUAUUAUCAUUAUGCUACUUUGUUAGAAUAAUGAUGAUUAAUUGUAGCAUUCCUAUAAGUACCAAAUUAUACAUAGGUAUAUCUGCACAUCAUAUUGGAUCACCGCAUAGAAAGAAACUUUAAUCCACAAGCUAGUUGAUAGUUUCCAUAUUGGAUCACUGGGACGCUGUCUCGGUGGGACCGAUUGCAAAACUCAGUGAGACCGAAUUAUUUCAACAAGUUACAGAAGGUUUGCCAAGUCGUCUCGGUGGGACCGAUUGCAAACUCGGUGAGACCAUAAUUGCAACUGGUUACAGAAGGUUGGGCAGGCAAAACCGGUGGGACCAAGAACCAUAUCGAUGACUUUGAUUUGUUAGGGUUUGGCUGUGGCAGUGUCUAGAUGAACUCGGUGGCUCCAGAUAGGGAAAUUUUGGUGGGACCGAGUUGGAAUGUAGGGUUUGGAUAUAUUUAGUUAGAGAAAGUGGUCGAGGGUUUUGGAGGAAUAUCACUAAGCACUUGAGCAAAUAUAUCAUAAUCAAAACCUCAUCCCCCGUUUAAUAGUAUUGGCUUUCCUAUGGACUCAAUAUGAUCUUGGAUCACUUAAAAAUGAAGAGUCUUGAUAUUUUGCCAAUCCAUGUCCUUAGCAUUUUGAGGGGUCCACAAUCACUUGUCCUUGCCAUGCCAAUCAUUGAACACCCUGAAAACUUUAAUAGUAAAGUGGCCUGCUCGAUGCGCGGGCUAAAACUAUUUUUUCUUUUAAUAAUAAGCAUGUUAUUUUUUUUAUCUUGUGUAUAUGUUGAUAUGCAAUGGGUCAACUUAUAGCCGAAGAACUAAAUGAUGGCAGCAAGUUAUGAAUGUCAAAUACAACUUAAGGUGUAGUUUUAAUUUGUUUCUGGCUCCUCGACUUCUUUACAAAGCUUGGGAAUAACAUUGGCAGUAUUAGACCCCCAACCCACAUUAAUGUGCAACAACCUAAAGAAUUGCUACAGGGAUCUGUUGCCAUGCUUUUUGAUGAAAUUUAAAUAAAAAUUAAAAUAGAUAUAAUAUAUUUGAUUAAAAAAUAUAUAAUAUAAGUACAGUUUUUCAUGCAUGUUGAGCAAAUUAUAUUUUGAAUGAUUUAAGUUGGGAUAUGUGCAUGUUGGGAGAGAAUAAUAGCAAUUUACAUGCAUGUCUAGAGAAAUAGGUAGUUGGGUGAUGAGGUGCAUGCUUGGUGGUGGCAUGUGUGCAUCAGAGAAUUGAGAUAGUGGGGAACAACUACUUAGGUAUAUAGGAUUAGUGUACUUGUGAUUAUCUAUAGUUUUAAUAUUCCCCCUAUUAAGUUUUAACAAUUGACUAUGAAAUAGCUCUCAUUGCAUUGUGCUUAUAAAAUUGAAGCAUGUCGGGAGGAAUUACCACGGAUAUGUCGCGGUUCAUCUAAGCUAGAUUAAGCGGCUAGCGGCGUAAGCUAUGCUUCAAUCUUGCAACUUGGCAAUUUUUGCAUGUUGCAGCUUGGUAGGCAAUGCUUGCCCUGCUGCAAUGUACAUGUAGCUUGGCAAGGUUGGCGUUAUUGUGGCCUCGUUUGCAGAUGACACCCGAGCGAUCAUGAAGAUGCCAGCUUCGCAACGUAGGCGUACCUGAAACACCAUCAUGCAGCUUAUGAGCGUAGAUGAAUAUUGCCUCUUGUUUCCACGCUAGGGCACCCGUGAUGGCUGCUCCGCAAGCUGUGCGUCUUGCAGCUUCUAAGUCCCUGACACAUCCAAUCAUCCCAGCGGGAGAGGAGGUCACCACUGCCUUGUUGCAGCUGUCCCCAAAAUAUUGUAUAUGUCAUUAUGCUUGAUUUUAGGCUGGGGAGACCCUUCGGAAAGAGUUGAUGGACAUGUCAUGUUUGAGUUUUUUUUGUGAGAGAGCAUGGUAGGCACGUUGGGGACUCCCGCUUGGUUCCAAAAAUACCAUAUUUUUUUUUUAACAACACAAUCCUAUAUAUGGUAUGGACUCUUGGUGCUUUUUUUUUAUUAUCACGGACUCGUGGUGGGUUGCCACAAUGCUAUAUAUAUCAUGCAUUCAAACAAUACAUGUUAUGCAUAUGAAACGGUUAUAUAAUCAUAAUUUUAAUAGAUCCACCAGAUCAAGGGCUAGUAUUUACUAAUUAAAGUGGAAUUUUCUAGCCUAUUUCUCUGCUUCUUAUUAACUCGUCAAUUACUUUUUAUAUAUAAAUAGAUAAUAGGGCAGUUACUUUCUUUGAAAAGUCUAGUUUAUUUUCUUUCCUAGGAUUGUAUGUUGAGAGAUGUAUCUUUUUUUCUUACCCAAUUUUUUCCCAGGAAGCACAUUUAGUUUUUUUUUCUUUACUAGGAAUGUACGUGAGGUGGUGCACAUUAUUUGAGUACAAAUAUUAUCUUUCCUUGUGCUGUACGUGGGGGCUGUGGCCCACCAUGUUUUAUAUAUGUCACAUAGUUGAACGGUCACAUAAUCUUAAUUUUAAGAGACCCAUCAAAUCAAGGGCUAGUAUUUUCUAAUUAGUGUGAGAUUUUCUAGCCUAAUUCACAUGCUUAUGGUUUCACUGUAUAUUACUUUUAAUAUAUAAUAGAUGAGAUAUAUGUUGUUAUGAAUAAUCAAAACCAUCCGGAUUAGUUGCACAUUCAACUAUGGCUCGAGAGGAGAUGACGAACCACUCGAAACCAAAUUCAAAUGACCACGCACGAUGACGUGGUGUUAUAAUUAAGUGCAAUGUUAAUGCAAUCAAGUUAAUUGGAAAAUUUAGGAUGGGAAUACCCCUGGACUUAAUUGGGCCAAUUAAAGUUAAACAUUUUUAGGUAAAAAUACCGUUGGGCUUUAAAAAGGCCCAGUUAGUCUCAUCCGUUAGAUCGGCCAUAUAAUACACGUGCUCUGGUGUAUUAUAAUGCACCGUAAAAUUUCCCUUAUAAAUACAUAAUAUCAAUUACAUUUAUUCCAAUUUUUGAUUUUUUGUAAAACGCCAGCUAACAUUUUUCUAGAAUGCUAUCAACAUUUUUAGUACUAUAUGUGGAAUUUUUCAGAAAAAUCAUAAAUAUUUUUUAAAAAUGCCAUGAACUUAUUUUCGAAACACGUGAACAUUUUUCCUGGCUCUCUAUGUAUAUGUAUGUGGCUGGAAAAAGAUAGUUGGUUGAGGUGGUAUAGCAUCCAUGGUAUGCAGAACAUGGUUUUGCCACCGCUGAUAUACAUCCUGACGAACUCAUAUAUAUCUUCAACACCUACACUAUCCGUCCUAUUCCCAGACGACAAAAAUUACACAUAAUCAUUUUUGUUUUGUUUUUUCUCUCUAGAUGCAACUAACUAACAGCGCCAAACCAAUUCCAACCAAGCACCAACUAAACCUCCAUUUCUUCGGCGUGCUGGAUCACAAGGACAAUGUGGUACGCGGACACGAGGAAAAAGUGCAUCGUCCUCUCAAAUUCUCAAUGUAGGAGAGAUCAAGACUCAAUGUAGGAGUUCUAUAUUUUGGUCUAGUUUGGCGUAAAUACGGCAUGGGGCCUCUUCAAGGUCUCUGGGCAUGGCGAACUGGAGAGCAGUGCAUGCCCAACAUAUGGCGCUCGCUUGACGCCAUGGACGACCAGGAGGGAGGCCUCAUAUUCUCCGCCCAACUUGAUCCGAUGAGGGCGGGCUUCGAUCCUACUCUGAUCAGCUUCCCUGUUCCAGCGCUAAUUAGUCGCCUUCUCGGAUGGAGUAACAACAGUGGCCAAGGAAGGCCGCAGGGAUUCGUGAUGGUCGCCGCCGCCGCUGUUGCUCUUUACGUGGCUGCACUCUUUGUUUCUGGUCAGCAGCCUCGCCGGCGACGUCUGGCUGCUUCUGCUGCAGCUAGGCCAACUUCUGGUAUGCAGCUUGUUUCAUUACUUCAUGGCUCAAGUUCUUUUCAUGUGCGAUUUGAUUUGCAUCCAUGGAUUUGUCUGCAGCAGCCAGACCUCGUGCUCUCCCUCUGCCUGCGCCGGACGGCGGGCUCCUCAGAAUACUGUCAGGGAAUAAUGUAAGUCGUGAUCCUAAGCUAGAGCUCCUGUUUCAUUUCUUGAUCGUGGCAAUCCAACCACCUCUAAUUUCUUGUCCAUGGGUUCGAAGCACGAAUAUCUGGAGAAGGUGGUCCACAGCGCGUCCAUCGGUGCCCGGGACGACGACGAGCCGGUUCCGGUCGCAAGAGUUCAGAGCAUGCUGGACAAGGAGCAGGAGGACGAUGUCGAGCGGUUCAAGGAGUUGUGGCUGUCGCUCGUGGAGCGGGAGCAGAGGCUAGAGCUCCAGCUGAUGCACCUCGACGGCCUUAGAGAGCAGCUCGAGCACCGCCUCAGCGUCGCCGCCCUGGAGACGUGGAUCCUGAAGCUCGAUGCCUUGCUACUCCAUGAGGAGAACGAGAGGCUCAAGGCCCAGGCGGCGGAGCUGGAGGCCGUCCGGGCCCAGCUGGGUCGCGCCAAGGAGAAGCUUCGUGCACUCAAGGAGCGGGUGCAGAUCGAGCGGGAGGAGUCUCAGAGGGAGGCGGCCACGCCCCGGGACAAGGUAAUGCAGCUGGAAAAGUCCGGCGAGAACAGGGAAAGGGUGUUGGCUGCGGAGGCGGCGACGCUACGGAAGGCCAAGGCUGGGCUGGAGGAGGAGAACAUGGAGCUUGCUCGGAGGCUGCAGCAUGUGGAGCAGGUCUCCUCCUCUGUUACUAUUAGUCUGGUUGAUGGGGUAACUGCAUUCCUAAUUCUCGAUUUCAAUUCAACAUUUUCUGCCAUUUCGUCUAAAUUUGUGAAAAUUACUACUCCCCCGACCCGUUCCAUAAUAUGUAUACUUGAUACUUGUCGCGAACGACAAGUAUUAUGGAACAGAGGGACUGCAUAUCAAUUUCUCCAGAUUUAUGUGUCGAUUGUUGACUGGUUUCCAGCUUUGGUCAAGUGAACAAAGUUAUCUUCUGGGAGAGAGAAACUAAAAAAAAA
rnacentral:lncRNA from 1 species